rnacentral:lncRNA from 1 species
ACAAAAACACUCUAUUCUAUUUCUACAUUUUCUCCCCUUUAACAUGUUGGAUUUGCUGUUAAAAUUUAAAAGAAAAUAUUCCCUUUUGGCAAAAAGCUUUGCUCUAGCACUAGCUGAAGCUAGCUAAAAGGGCAUCAGCAUAAAGCCAACUGCUGCACAUCACCUAAACUUAAAACAAACCCAACCCCCGACCUAAUCUGAUGUUGUUUUGUUUCUUUAUCUUUUCUUAAGUAAUCAUCACAAUUUUAUCGAGCUAAUAGCUUCCAACUCAAUCGCACCAACGAAAACGAAAUCAAACAAUAAAUCAAACACAUAAGAGAUAAUAAUUUAAUGUGGUUCGGUUUAACUAACCUACAUCUACGGAUGAAAAAAAAGAUCCACUAGAUAUAGAUAAUUAUAAACUUAUAUCAAAUCAUCAACCUCACUCAACAAUCAAUACUCAUAAGACACUCUCAAUCUCUUUAGUCCUAUGGAGUAUUCUCAACCCAAACAAAUACAAAUCCAAACCCUUGUACACCUUUUCAAUAUAAUCAAACACAUACCCAUAUGCUCCCAUACAUCAUACAUAUGUGAACUCUCUCAGUCUCCUCUAGUCCACUCACAAACAAACAUACACACCUAUAAGAUAUAGAGUCUCAAUACUAGAUGUCUAUCCCACAAAAAUCUUACAACUCUCUUACAUCUUUUUCUAAUACCUAAUCCUGUAGAGAUUUCACCUAUUUAUAACCAUACAAACUUGCCCAUUAAAAAUCUCUCUCCUCUUAAAAUUUUUUUUCUGUAAGUCAAACUUACCUAUUAAGAAUCCCUUUACUUUUAGAAUUCUUCUCUUGCAAGUCAACUUACCUAUUAAAAAUCAUCUUUCUCUUAAAAUUCUUCUUUUGUAAGUUUUCUUGUCAAUCAAGCAAUAUCUGACAAAUCUUAAAUAAAUCUCUAACAAAUCUCAAAUAAAUCUCUUAUAGAUUUAAGUCAAUAUUCUCAACAUGUUGGAUUUGCUGUUAAAAUUUAAAAGAAAAAAAUUCCCUUUUGGCAAAAAGCUUUGCUCUAGCACGAGCUGAAGCUAGCUAAAUGGGCAUCAGCAUAAAGCCAACUGCUGCACAUCACCUAAACUUAAAACAAACCCAACCCCUGACCUGAUCUGAUGUUGUUUUGUUUCUUUUUCUUUUCUUAAGUAAUCAUCACAACUCAACUCACAACAUGAUUAUCGGCACAGUGCAGCCUUUAUUCAUCUUCUGCACUACCCCAAAUAUAUAUAUUUAUAUACAUGGCAAUUGGCGAUGGCAGGUAAUAACUUUGGUGGAUUAGCAUUACUUUUUUUAGGGUUCAGUAUGUGUAAGUAAUGAUCAGGUUUGAGCGUCAAAUUACUAAUAAGUAUCUGACUCAGAUUUCACCAUCCUAAUCAACGAGGCAGGGGGUAGGUCCCAUACAUGUAGUUGCGGCUGUAGAUCGAAUGCUUCAAAGAAUUUAAGCGAAACACUAGAAAAGGAAAAGACGCAUAUGCUUUAACAGCGCAUUUGCAUUAGUAAAAGUGCAGUUAAUAAUGGAUGUUGACGCCGACUAAUAUGUAGUUGUUUUCAGGCUCAGCCAAAACUUGUCAAGACUCAAGAAAAGUUUGACUCAAAUGGAUGCUAAAUUACAAUUUCUUUUAAGUAAAGGAAAAAGUUCCAGAUUGAAUCAUGCUCGAAAGCCAAACUUUUCCAACAGCUAUAUCAGCCUUUUGGGGGAUUCCAAGUUCAGAUUAUCAAAAGGGAAAAUUUAUAGUCCUCGUAAAACUGUCAGAGAAAUAUAGGAGAGAAAGAAAUUAACAGCAAAGAAAUAUUUAUAUAUAUAUAUAUAUAUAUAAGCACGUGAUGAUAAUGUAUAUAUGAAAGGUUUUUGCAGAGAAAGGGCUGAUGAAGGGGAUCUUUUACAAGGCCAGCUACUUGCCUCACACGCACAGCUCAUCUCCGCUUCCAAAUUCCAUUCAACUGUUCCAAUGCAAAGAACCCGUAUUUAUCAUCAUUUGCAUGCAGACAUUGAUCUCAAACGCAACAAGAUGGAAAAGUACGGUUGCUUUGCUUUAUAAGCCGUAUUAUAAUUUCCUAGUAUGUAUUUGAAUGUCCUUUGUGUAUGGGACUUGAAAUCCUAUCCUUCCUUUUCUUUUUUUUUUUCCUUUUCCCAUUGCUUGCAAACUUUGGUGUGGGUUUUGUGAUUGAGUUGUUACCUUCUAAAAACGGGUCAUUAAAAAGAACAAAAACAGGACCAAGUUGUAAGAGUCCUAUACGCAUGCCAUACCCCGCGUGGGGCGCAUUUCUGCACGUGGUUUGUGAGACAUUCUUGUCUAAAUCCACCUUUCUUUACUUAUUCAAAUAUGUAUUAUUUCCACCCCAGCUACACCUUCUUCAUGUUUAGCUUGAUUCAGUCCAAAACCCAUUUUCAUUUUCCAUGUAAUAGAGUAAAAGAAAUAGAGCUUUGAUUUGAUUUUUAUUAAGUUAUUUUAAUUUACUAGUAGAUCACAUACCUUGGACUACGACCUUCACUUCAGCCACAAUGUUUGACCCACUUAUUGUUCUUCAAGAUUCACAAGUUGGGAAGAAAACAACAGGCAAAUUGGCAAAUGGGGUUUCUUUGAUUAGAUUUAGACCUUUGGAGGAAUUACACUCAGAUUGUACAUGUUCCACAAAAGUGAACACAUUUUUUUAUGUUUUUGAUUUUCCUUAAUUGAUGCAGAAGUGAUCGGAGAGUAGUGAUCAGAAAAGAUUAAUUCAAUUAAUUUCCUCCGCUUCUGAUUCUAGAGGAUUUGCAAAUCCCACUCAUCCGUCAUUGCUUCAUUGGUGGCCCUAGCUAGCUCCAAUUACCAGCUGAUAUCUUCCAUUAAGGAGAGAAUACAACAUUUUUUUUUCUUCUUUCCAAUCUUCAUAUAAACCAAAACUUAUAGCACAAAAUAAUCUUCGUUGUACAAUUAAUAUUCUUUAUAUUGACGUCAAACAUAGAAAAAGUCAAGUCAACAGCAUCAAUUAAUUAUUGCCAUUUGGAUCAAACAAAGAGAGAUUACUUCCCAUCUGACAAAAUGAUGUAUAGAAGGCAUAAGAUCAAAAGGUUUGCCAUUAACACACAAAACCUGGUCAUGGAAUGAUUAGAAUUAGAUAUGAUAGGAUUUGGGGGGUCGACUGACAAAUCAACAACGAUGUUGGAAAGGUAUUAUUGCUUGGAGAAUAUAGAGAAGGAUCAUAUAGAUGUUUUUCUGGAUACAGAAAUCUAAAGAGUACCAUAUAACCAUCAUUCUUUUCGUUAAAUAUAUAUAUGGAUCCCACCAUUAGCUCAUGACUACCCUUCCCCCAUCAAAACCGAAGGACAAUAAAAAACAUAUCUAUAGAUACAAUUGUCAAGUCAAAGUCCUGCUACCUCACUUUGUGAUUUGAUUCCUUUAUUCUGGUCCAAGUUCUUUUUGACAAUUUGGAGAGAUCAUGACAAUUCAAAGAAACACCAUCAAUAAUGUUUACGUAUGUGUAUAUAUAUAUAUAUAUAUAUAUAUGCUAUAUUUAUAUAUAUGCAUUUGAAUCAUAUUGAUCAAAAUGAGCUAUUAGUUCUUUAAUUGGAAGAAGGAGAGAUAGUAGAACAAUUUAUGCUUUAAUGUAACCCAAAAAAAAAAAAACAAUAAAUGUAUUGAAUCAGUUUUUACUUCAGGAAAGAAGUUGUACAUGUAUAUAUAUAACAUAUACACCAAUCUAAAAAGUUGAUGAAAAAAAAAAUGGAUCCAUGUAUGUAGAUCUUAGUUAAAAACAUGCAUUCGAUUGGAUUAAUACAUCUAACUAAUAAGAGAAAAAUUGAAAAUUAAAAAGAGAAAGGAAAUACAAAAUAAUCCACAAUAUCAAUAGUCAUAUGGUUCGUUAAUAAAAUAUUGAUACUUAACCUCAAUAAUCAAAAUUUAAUCUUGACAAUUUUAAAUAUAAAAAAAAUCAUGAUGGUGUAUAUGAAGGGAAUCAUAAUAACGAAGAGAUACAUACAUGAAAUUAAUUAGUUUAGAAGAUCUUAAUCGUGGUGCACCUGUCUAAUUGAUACUACUAAUCCAAGACUGAUUAAAUCUUUAAAUAGUAACAAAAUCCAACGUAGGGUAUGGGAAUGACAGAUUUAAAGGCUAGUAAAUGAGGAAUCUCAUGAUGGUAAAUCUAUGUUUUAGCGUUGAGAAACAUAAUUAUUCGCUCCUCUCCCAGUCAAGGACAUGCUUUCCGGAAACCAAGCUGGGUCGCCCGCGGCCAAUCCCCUUAAAGUAAAAAUAUGGAUAAACUAAAGGGUCAUGUCUAGGCUUAGCCAUGCAAGAAUCGAUACUGUUUAAUGGUGUGGAAAAUAUGAUUGGCAAUUGCAACUAAUUACAAGCAGCUAGACUUUUGAAUUUUGAUACAUUUACAACGAAUUGCCAGUUAACAAUGAAGUACUUUUUCACCAACAUGUUUCUAUAUAGUAACAUUAUGUUUGAUUUUAUUAUUAUAUAUUUCGAUCAUGAUUCAAAUUUUAACAAUUUUAAAUACAAAAAUAAAUUUUUACCUGGCCCCAUUCAAUUUUCUUCCAUUUACGGGCAUUUUUUGGCAUAGAUGUGAAUAUACCAAGGAGUUAAACCUCUUUCAGAUAGGCAUGUGAUGUUCUAUGAUAACCCAAGCUGACUAAUUGAAUAAAAAUAAAAUAAUAGAUUUAUGAUUUUAUUUGCCUCAUGAGUCAAUAAAAAAUCGAUAAAUACUAUGCCAAAUAUUUGACAUGUGCUGUUUCUUGAAGCCAACUGUCAAGAAUAAGUUGAAUUUUCAAUGCCUGUGUCAAUUUGAUGUUACUAUAUGUUAUUAUUAUUAUUUUUUAACAUAGAUGUUACUAUAUGUUUAGAGUGAAGGCAUUUUCAUCCAAAUUUAUACACCUAAAUUCCCCUAUUACAUAUUAUCAAAAAAAAAAAAAAAAUCCUUAUUACAUGGUAAUAAUCACCUUCCCAUAUGAACUCCAAUAGAUGAUUCCCACACGUGGCAAUUUAAUCGGAAGACCCUAGCUUGGAAAGUGACAGUCAUAUGAAAAUGAAAUGAAUUACUAAUAUUUUUCACAUGUGUUAAUUGUUUAUAUUUGAAAAAGAAAAAAAGAGGUCGUAUAAUUUGGAGAUAAAAAAAUUGUAAGUAUUGAGAUUUAAAUUUUAAUUUUGUUGGAUAUCAUUUUUUUAAAAUAAUUACACGAAUUAACUUAAUUAAACUCAAAAUUCAUCUUAUUUGCUUUUUAAAACACACCUUUACAAACUAAUAAUACUAUGUAAGAUUUUAGGUUUGAAUCAACAAGAUAUAUGAUCUCACUCCUUUUUGCUUCCCCCUUACCUAAUCACUUUCCAACAAACAUGAAAUUUUAUUUUAUAACCCCCUAAUUAUUUCAUUAUUUUUUCUUAACAAAUUUAGCCAAAAUAAUAUUUUGGAGCAAAAGAUUGAGAAUCCUAAAUUUGUUAACCUAUCAUUGGUGAGUAAUAAGAAUUGAAAAAAAGAUAUGACAAUCAGAAGAAGAAGAUAACAAAUAUGGGCCUUAACUUUGAACUCGAAUUAAGCCUAACCAUAGCCGACAACCUUAAUAAAUUUGGGCUUAAGCCCACAAUAGUUUCCAAUUGUGUCUCAGCCCGUGAACCAUUAAACUGUACAAACCUGGAAAAUUAAGAAGCAGGUAGCGAGAAUGGAACCUGAAAAAGGACCUGAACCCAAGAGGAGGAAAAUCCUUAAGCCACCGCCUCGCCGGUAUGAUCUUUAUACAGCUCUCUGGUUCUGAUUUUUUCUUUUUUGUCUUUUUCGUUUAAGGAAAAAUAUGCUUCAAUUGGAUCGAUUGAUGCUUGGCUUGAUUAUGGGGUUAGGAAGCAUGAGGUUCUGCAAUGAUUCUUUGAAAUUUUAAGUCGUCUGCUUGCAAAUUGAACUUAGGGUUUUAAUGAAGGUUGGGAUUGGAGUUUGAAUUAAGUUGUCAACGAUUGUUUGGGAAUUGAAGCUUAAGCAAUGCAUAAGAUAAGAUGAUGAUAAUAAAUGGAAACCUUAAUCAAAAUAUGGGUUGUCAAAGGGAAUGAAAUAUUUAGAGAUUGAAGCACUCAUUUGAUGUUAUAUGGGAAGCUUAGAAUGUGGAUUAUAUGUCUUAGUGAUAGAAAUCCCAUUAUUCUUCUGUUAAGCUUGUUCAUAUGCUAUAAUUCAGAGAGACCAACCUGUUUGACACCUUAUUUGGAUGUUCUUUUUGCAGGACUGUCUCUUCACCCGCUUCAAAGACUCCCAAAGAUGCAGAUUUGACUAGUAGUUUGAUGGUAAAGCCUUUUUUUCUUGCUUCUAUUCUAAUGGAGUUUCAUUUCCUACAUUUUAAACCUUGGUAAAGUUGUAAGUGACUGGAUGUGCAGGUUCCAGCUGCACAAACAAGUUUCAGAAUCCAACAAGCCAAAAACUUUGCAGUAGUUCAAGCACAACAAGAUGGCUGCACAGGAAAUUUUAAGAAAUUUGAUUCACAAUACGGGAAUUUUCUGGUGCCAGUUGUUCCGUCACGGGCAGACUUAACGGGAUAAGUACCACUUGCAUCUUUUCCAUUUUGAUCUACUUUUAUCUCCAAACAAUACCUAUAUAGAAGUAGAUUGUAUUCUUCUAUCUUGCCUUUGCCAUAUGGAUAAGAUUCUUUUCUGGCUGUCGUUUCUCUUUUUGUUUCCCAAUAAGAGCCCCAAUGGUAUCAUGGACUGAGGUAGGGCAAACCUAAUCAGAGAAUUGUGUGCCAAUUACACUUGCGAGUUUACCUUCUUGAUAUCUAUACAUGUUUUACGUCUCCAUUUUGAUUGUAUAUGGACUAUUUAUCACACAUCAUUUUGUUAUAAAACCAACCUCGGCCAUACUUGUCUUAGUUGCCUGGUUUAGGAGUAAGCCAAAACCAGCUUCUGUGUUUAGGUGGGUUUUGAUGGUCUUCCAUUUUAUUAGGCUAGAUGGUUUGAAAUACCCAGGGUCUAUUUCAAACUCAUGCUCAUCAACUCCAUUUACCUAUUAAAAUACUUUAAAAAAAUUUUUGUCCAAAUAUGUCUUUCGGGUGAAUGGUUUUUUAAUAAAUUAAUUAAGGAAUUGUUUGAACUUGUGACUAAGAGGAAUGGCUGUCAGUUUUGAUAUGAGAUCAUUGUAUUUUCAGAAAAUUUGGGAAUGUGUAGCAUCUAUCAUCUUAUAUAUUUAUAUAUAUAUAUAUUUAUAUAUGUUCAUAAAAUGUAAUAAUCAAUUCAAGAUAAAAAAGAUGAGGUUUUUGUUUCCAUCCCAUUGGAAAAGAUGAGUAACACCUUGAGAAACUGAGCCAAGUUUACGCCAAUGGCAGUCACCGUCAUUUUUUAAAUGUGGAUAACAGGGCCAACAGCGACAGGGCAUAAUGCUUAUCACACAUCUUAUCUGAGCACCAACAAGUAAAGAAGAAAAGGGUAGCCCAUAAAAAACAAAAAUCCUAGUAUGAGAAUGCAAACAAAAGGUUUCCAUGUUCCACUUUAAUCAUGUUUGUCUUGUAAUAACAAAAAGCCUUUUGAGCAUUCAUCUAUUUUUUAUCUAGAUUCCUUCUUUAGUGGGACUGAAAUCCCACCGUUGGAGGAACGACAAGUAUCCACUGCACCUGGAACUGAUCCGCAACUGAAACUAAAACUAGCUGUACAUUUAGGUUAAACGUAAGUCAUAUGGUAACGUUUUGCUUAUAUAUAUAUAUAACUGGAUGGCUUCCAAAAAUUCGUACAAUCUAAAAGAAAUUGUUUGAAAUGAGAAACCAUUCAAUUUGCGCAAAAAUUAGUUGUAAUUUCAACUCUUAUUGAGUUCCAGCAAGCUGCUAUUAAUCGUGUAUGAUGUUGAUGGCUUUAUGAUCCUUGCAGUGAUCUAUAUAAACAUGUGUCAACAACUUCAUUUAAAGGCAAUCGCCUUCACAUUAAGUUAUAAUAGAAUAAACUUUAAAAUCAACUUUAGAUCCCACAUGUUAAAAAAAAAAACAAUAAAAGUUUCCAACGUAAUUUGCAUAUGUAUGAUUGUGAUUCCUAUAAAUCGAGUUCAUUAUUAUCGUUAAACAAACAAAAAUAUAGAAUAGUCUUGCAGGGUAAUGGAUAUUUGUCAAAGAAAGCAAGAGUUGAUCAUAUCUCAUUAUCCAAAACAUGUGCCUUACUGUCAAAUUUGGAGACUAAAUUGACCACCAACUUGCUAACAAGUUGUUUAAAACCAAUGUGCUGAGAGAUGGUGAGUCAGAUUUGUCUCUAGCCUAACUGUGGUCAAACCUGGUUUCAAAUUCCUGGGUAACUAAAUAUAUGUUCAACGCAUUUUUUUUUUUUAUAUAUAUAUUUCUCAGAGACAUUCGUUCAAAAUUUUCUCUCCUUUCAUUUUGGUGUGAUUUUUUGUCAAAUAUUGAUGGCUUAAAAACUCGAACAGCAGCAGUUGGUUUUUUACCAAAACGUCUGUUCUUUUCUCGUUACGUGAAAAUUGGCAUCUAAUCACAUGGUUGCCUAUUGGUUUGACUUGUUCUUCAAUUUAAGCAUGUCUGGCAUUGGCCUGCUUUUCAAAAUUUCAAGCUGUUUAAUUUUUUUGUACAAUUUUUUGGAUCCAAAAGUCAUUGACCUUUCCAUUUGCCUAAACAAAAUAAUUAAUACCCAGGAGUAAAGUCAACUUUAUUAAUAAAACAAAAUAAAUUCAGUUGAAAUUAUAUCAAAGGAUAAUAAUUUUGCUAAUUAUUGUAUGCAAUGCCAGUAAAUCUGUAAAACUUUAAAACCCAAAAAUGAGCCUGAAAAUCUCAGAAAAAAAAAAAAAGAAAAGGAAAUAGAGCAGCCUAUUCCAUAAAAGGAAAGAGAAAACAUUCCUAAAUGCAAAAGUCUGCAGCCAUUACCAAACACCUCUGCUUUCCUGAACUCUCUCAAAGCUCAGAAUUGAACUGAUAGGUCUUUAUCGUAAUUCCAACCCAUUCUUAUGUCCACUUUCCAACGUUAGCCCCUUUUCUCCUGUAAAAUCCUACCCUCACUGCUACGCUUUUUUUUUUUCUUAUUCUUCACCCCAGCUCCAGACAAAAGUUAUUUUUAGCAAAUAAGAAAAGUUUAUAAGUAUAAAUAAAUACCUUUCUCUUUUUAUUUUUUGAUAUUUUCUCUUUGCUUUUUCAAGCACAAGAAAGCUACCCAAGAAAACAUAAACUUUUUUUUUUUUAAUUUUCCGAUAUAAAAACAAGUAAUUAUUAAUCUUCGAGAAUCUCGCUCCAAAGAUAAUCGAUCUAGGGCUUCUCUCCGUCUCUUUCUUUCAAAAUACUGACACUUGAACCGUUUUUAUUUUCUUUAAAUUAAAACUCUGUUUUUUGUGUCCGUACAAGGUUAUACAAAAGUUUUUUUUUUUUAAUUUUUGUUCGAUUGGUAUUGCGGAUUUUAGUUGUGGUGGUGAUGGGGAAGGUGGCGAUGGGGGCGACGGUGGUGUGCGCGGCAGCUGUGUGUGCUGCGGCGGCGCUGGUUGUGCGUCAUAGGAUGAAGAGUUCGGGGAAGUGGGCCCGGGCGCUGGCUAUCCUGAAAGAGUUCGAGGAAAAGUGUGGGACCCCAAGUUCGAAGCUGAAACAGGUGGUGGAUGCUAUGACCGUUGAGAUGCACGCUGGGCUGGCCUCGGAAGGUGGCAGCAAGCUCAAGAUGAUUAUCAGCUAUGUAGAUAAUCUCCCCACCGGGUAAAUUUACAAAUCAACUCUCAAAUAAUCUAAAUUUUUUUCCCUUCUAAAUUUAAUUUUCAAUACUUUUGGAACUCCCUGUUUCGUUUAAAUGAUUCAAUAAUAGAAAAUUUGGAUCGGAUAAAGAUGGUCUCUUGAUUGAUUAACGCCUAUUAUAAGCUCUCUCUCCUCUCUCUCUCUCUCUCUAUAUAUAUAUAUAUAUUUAAAUUCUUAUAGAAAAGUUCAAUUCAUGAUUGAAAUUUAACUCAAUUAAUUUGAUGAAGAAGCUUUAGAUGUUAGUGGCUUUAGUGGGUUUAGGGUUUACUUACACUGUUGUCCAUUCAAAUUUGCUGUUAAUGAGAAUUAUUUGAUGGCUCGAAUCGAACUUUCUAACGCAAAAGAUAAAAUUUUUGUUAGUUUCGAAUUUUACUUUGCCUAAUUGAUGUGUUGGAUUCCACUUAUGCUGUUUUUUUUUUUUUUUUAAUGUUAUAUUUACUCUAUCUUCAUUAUCUACUCUUCAUUCUUGUGAACUUUAUGCUAGUUCUUGUUCCUGCAUUAAAGUUGAUUUAUAGGUUAGCUUUGCCGAGAAACUAUGCGUUCAUUGAUUCUUAUUUACCUUUCUUUUUCACCAUCAAUAUCCACCUUUUCCUCAUUUCAUGGGAUAAAUAACUGAUCUUUUAAAUUUGAUAUAUAGCUUACCUUCUAAAGCUUUGCUGCCUUUUGCUUUUGUAUUGUAUUUUUGGUCCUUGAUUUUUGAUGCUUUCUUUAAUGCUUUUGUUAAAGCUUUUAUAAUGAAAAUUUUCUUGCCAAUGUUUCCUUCUAUGUUGACUUUGUGUUAUGAUGAUUUGCUUUUGUUAAUGUUUAAUGGUUUUCUGAGAGAAUAUUAAAGUAGAGUGGAACGUCAUUUCACAUUUUGAAAUAAGGAACCCAAAUUUCUCUUUUGUAUUGAUUGACUCAAGCUUAUAGUAUUUCUAUUAUCUAGGUGGGAUGUUUCUGUCAUGUACUAUUGCCUUUUUCUGAUCAGUGAGAGUGAGUUGUUUGUUUUAGAUUUUAAGCACUAAUUUUGUAUGCUGUGGAUAAUUUCUUGAUUGCCAAUUUUAGUUUGAGGAAUAUUUGGUUCAUUAUUGUUUUAACUUUUAAUUAAGUUUUGGCAUAGACUUAAUUUCUCGUAAGACAUACCAGCUUCCUUAAUAAGUUUUUUUUUUCCCUUAAAUUUUCUUUUAUAUGGGUGAUGUGAGAUGAUAUGCUAGGGAAAAAUGUUUUCUUUAUUUGCUGCUGAACUAUGCAUAGAUAGUGGGUCAUAAUUGGGAAAGAAUUUACUCUUUUUCUUUUUUUUGGGGGGGGGGGGGGGGUGAAGGGUUUACAUGUGGACCUGUAGUUGAGCCUUAGCCGGCACAGUGGGAGGUAGCCUCCUAUUAUGAAAGAAAUUGCUUUGAGAGGAUGAUUGGUAAAUUUGACUUCACUAAUAAACUUUUUUUUUUUUUUUUUUAUAUUGAAUAACAUAAUAAACUAUCUUAUAAAUAUUCAAGAGAAAAGAAGUGGUAAUUCUUAUCAAUAGAUUCCUUAAAACAUAAUUCCCAACAAGGGAAAAGAAGUUGCUCAGCUGUCGUAAAAUUUUGCAUGGUGCUAAAGAUUCUAGUUUUCUAGAUUUUUACCUUGCUUGAAAGCUUAGCUAAGCAUAUGUCAUGCUUUCUUGUUUAACUUUGCAGUGAUGAGAAAGGACUGUUUUAUGCCCUCGACCUUGGUGGCACAAAUUUCCGUGUCCUACGUGUACUCUUGGGUGGUAAAGAAAGCCAUGUUGUUAAGCAGGAAUUUGAGGAAGUUUCAAUUCCUCCACAUUUGAUGACUGGAUUUUCAGAUGUGAGACCUUUCUCCAUCCAACCUAGCAAUAUUUAAUCCUGCUUAUAUUUGUCCUUUUUCUGAAAUUUUUUAUAUGAUGUGAUUGCAGGCAUUAUUUGAUUAUAUUGCUUCAGCUCUUGCAAAAUUUGUUGCUACAGAAAGUGACAGUUUACAUGUUUCACCUGGUAGACAAAGGGAGCUGGGGUUCACUUUCUCAUUUCCUGUUAGGCAAACAUCAAUAUCAUCAGGGACUCUUAUAAAAUGGACAAAGGGCUUCUCGAUAGAUGAUACAGUUAAUUCUAAUGACCUUGACUCCAAUUCUGCAGCCUUCUGUAGUAAUUUGUUAUUGGCAUUUUUUUAAAUUAGGACUUCAUCCCUGCCAUUACUAUCCCAAUUUUUUCUUUCCAAAGUCUAAUGCAUGCUGACCUUGGUUUUCUCCCAACUCGAGAAUCUUAAAAUUUUGUGCUUAUGGGCUACGUUCAUACCCUGGAACUAAGAUGUUGGUGGGGUGAUACAUUCAGAUCAAUCCUUUAAAAUCUGGCCUGGCAUGUGUAUCUCUGAAUAAUUCCUUAAUGUGUACCAACAAUUGAAUUUAUAGACAUUUUUUAUGAAUAACCUGAGAGGACAAGUUCUUCCUUUAGAUGGUCCAGAAAGCAUAAACGUGACAUUCAGAAUUUUAUAUUACAAUGACACUUUUUUUUUUUUUUUACAUUAUAAGUUUAUAACUCUUGGAGUGUUUAUAGUAUGAUCCUUAAUGUUACUCUUGGCUUGUAUGUGUAGGUUGGACAGGACGUUGUUGGAGAAUUGACAAAAGCUAUGGAAAGGAUUGGCCUUGACAUGCGUGUGGCAGCUUUGGUGAGUCUGAUUUUGUUCUUCUGUUGGGUGUGGUGCAUUGCUUUUCUUAUUUCUUGUAGAUGGAUGUGAUCUGGUGCUUCUACUUGGGUACAUGUUUGAGUGAAUAUUCCAAAUUCUUUUACGGAAUAUGCAGGUCAAUGAUACAAUUGGCACUUUGGCUGGUGGUAGAUACAACAACCCUGAUGUUGUUGCUGCUGUGAUAUUGGGUACAGGCACAAAUGCAGCUUAUGUAGAGCGUGCCCAUGCAGUUCCCAAAUGGCAUGGUCUUCUACCUAAAUCAGGGGACAUGGUAAGUAGUGUUAGUAUGUAUGUUCUCUGCUUCUGUUAACGUCUGAUUGAAUAUAUGAUCAGCCUUGUUAUGCUAAACUUCUUCCCUGUUAUUUGAGAGAUAUGCUUUUGAUUGUAGAAUGCAAUCCUCAAUUAGCUAUUAUUAUUUCUAUAAAGAGUUCUAAAACUUUUUCCUUGUUUCCGCAGGUUAUCAACAUGGAGUGGGGUAACUUUCGGUCUUCACACCUUCCACUAACAGAAUAUGAUCAAACUCUGGAUGCUGAGAGUUUAAACCCUGGAGAACAGGUCAGUUUCUUCCGUCCAAGUUAUUUAACUACUUAUUCCUUUUUGUAUAAGCUAGAUGUAACUUUUUUAACUACUUGUUUCCAGAUUUUUGAAAAAAUGAUUUCUGGUAUGUAUUUGGGAGAGAUUGUACGUAGAGUUUUGUGCAAGAUGGCUGAGGAAGCUGCAAUUUUUGGUGAUACUGUUCCACCAAAAUUGAAAAUUCCUUUCAUACUAAGGUAUGCCAUAAUAUUAUAUAAUGUUCCCCAGUUAAAAGUAACUCAUUAUGUUGUUGAAUUACGGUACUUGUUGAAGUGUGUUCAGUUCUUCAUCCAUAAGAUAGUUGCUUUGCAAUAUAUAAAAUAUAGAAGGCUUUGAUUUUGGCCUGAUGAGAGCUCGGAGAGCUGUUAACAUUUAUCUGUUAAAUCUGCAGAACUCCUCACAUGUCUGCAAUCCAUCACGACAUGUCUCCAGAUCUGAAAGUGGUUGGGACCAAACUAAAGGAUGUAUUAGAGGUAGAAUAUGUUAGAUGUUUGUUGUAUAAAUGUAUAAUUUUCUGUAAAGCCUUUUGGUUUCUUACCUUUUCUCUUCUGAAUGCUUCUGUUUGACAUUUUAGAAUAAAGAACAAAGAAAAGAAACUAAGAGUGAAAAGGAAUUUAACUUGAACCACAGAACCCCUUUUCAACAGAUAUUAUUGAGUUUGGAAACACUUCUCAUCUUGAAGGAAAUAAGUUUUGCAUGAGAUUAAAUGAGAUUUGAUCAUGUGAAUUCACUGCUUUUAUAGGCUUUCUUAUGUUUAUGUUGUCAAUUCUUUGUUUUAUUUCAGAUAUCAAAUACCUCCCUGAAAAUAAGAAAAGUUAUUGUUGAGCUGUGCGACAUUGUUGCUACUCGUGGUGCCCGCCUAUCUGCUGCUGGAAUCGUGGGUAUCCUCAAGAAAUUAGGAAGAGAUACAGUUAAAGAUGGUGAAAAACAGAAGUCAGUGGUAGCUCUAGAUGGUGGAUUAUAUGAGCACUACGCUAAAUUCAGGACCUGCAUGGAGAACACCCUCAGGGAGUUGCUGGGAGAAGAAGUCUCCGAGAACAUUGUAGUUGAGCAAUCCAAUGAUGGCUCUGGCAUUGGGGCAGCCCUCCUUGCAGCCUCUCACUCCCAAUACAUUGAGGUUGAGGAGCCCUGAAGUGUAGGUAGAUUACAAAAAAUUCUCAACUAUUGAGAUUUUGGUAUAUUUACAGCAUUUGCGUUCUUAUUGCAACUCAACCAGAACUAAGAGUUCGUGCAAGCAAAAUGCUUAAGUUAUGGUCAUCCGGAGUUUAUAAUUGAGUAAUGGAUAAAAUGUAAUGAGUGCCUGAUAGUUGCCCGAAGCUUCAUUGCUGCAACUGUCACUCGGCUCCAUUCGCUAUAUGUAAUUUCUGAUCUCCUGAAAUUAAUAAAAUAAGGGCAUGUAAACUCCUCUUUCGAGUUUUUGAUAUUUUGUAGGGUACGAGGAAGAUAGAAUAUUAUUCAUCUCUAUUUUCAAAUUUUUAUAUUAUAUUUAUUUUUGUAUUCAUAUUUAAUAGAUUUUUUAAAUUUACUUUUGUUUUUAUUAUUGCGGGUAUUUAAUAGGUAUAAGUAAUUUUUAUACUUUUUUAAUUUUUUAAAAAUAAAAGUUAAAUUAUUAUAACCUUUUUUUUUUUAUAUAUUUAAGUAAUAUUUUUAGAAAUAUAUAUUAAUAUAUAUUUUUAAUAAAAAUAUAUUAAUUUUAAUUAAUUUAAAAUAAUAAUUUAUAUUAUUAAAUAUAAAAUUUAUUUAUUAAAUAUAUAAAAAUAUAUAUAUGAUAUAAGUAUGAAACAAAUACUAUAUUUUUUAUUUUUAUUUUUAUAUUUAAUAAAAAUUUAAAAUUAUAUUUAUUCUCAUACAAUAUAAUAUCAAUUUUCAUAUUUAUUUGGAUAUAAAGUCGAUUAUUUAUAGGGUAUCAGUAAGAUUGAUAUAUUUAGUUUUUGAUUUCUACUCAUUGAGAACAAAAAUGAAAUCUUUGGCCAUCUAUGGAAAACAUUUUAAUUAAAAUGUUACGAAUGCUACAAAAAUAGAAAUUAAAAUGUUACGAAUGCUACAAAAAUAGAAAGGUGUUUAUGAAACUAACUAGAUCAUUAGAUUUUCCGAUUGCAUUGAUUAAAAAAAAUAUAUGGAUGGAAAUUGGAAUGGAACCCAAGGCAAAUCAAUCCAUGUAAUUUCCAUGGAGUUUGAGUGAGACAGCAUGCAUAGGUUGUACCACGCCGAGAGUGUCAAAGGGUUCGGCGUUUGUUAUUUUCAUUGCGAAUUCAACGGUCAAAAGAAAAAAGUGAUUCUAACUUCUACGACUACUUUAUGUUAGAAGAUCGUGUUCGUGGGGAUUACAUAGAUCAUGGACUGGAACGAUUCGGGUGAACAGAAAUUCUUGAAUUUGAGUCUGACAAUUCAAAAUAUUUUUAUUUAAUUUCAAUUUAAAAAAAUAUAUAAAAAUGUAAAAAUAAUAUAUUAAUUAGUAUCGAAUUUAAAUAAACAGAUUUAAUUGGAAACUUUAAUCUGUCAAUCGAAUGCGAUUUUUUUUUACACAAUUUGUUAACUCUGUUAAUGAAAAUACUUAUUAUUUUUUUAAAAAAAAUAUUUUCUAGAAACUUUCUCAUCUGUUGAUAUUUGAAAAUUGAAAUAUUCAAUUUUAAUUUUAUUGGCGUUCUAAAGUUGUCGUAAUUGUUCGAUAAUGUCAAACGUUAAAUUAAGAGACUCACAAGACAGAGACAGGGAACACCGAAGUUAAUUCUAUGGGGACACUAACUUCCAAAUCGGUAUAUUUAUAUUUAAUUAUUGUACUCAAUUCUCAAAACUAGACUUGUUUAAGUUCACAGUCAUAAAAAUUUGAGAUUAAUUUAAAAAAUGACUGUGAAUUGGAAUAUUAAAAGCAGUGGGUAGAGCUAAUACAUCGCUACUCUAACUGUCAUUAUUCAGACAAGUCAUGACCCCUGAAAUGGUUUAAAACUUUGAAGAAUGGGGGGGUAAAUGCUUUGAUAGACUCAUGUUUGCUGACAAUGAUACCGGUACGAGAUAGACAAAUAAUAUAGAAAUAAUAUGCAUCAAUAAGCAUUCAAAAAAACUAUCAUUAAUUAAAAUUAUGGUUUAAUAUAUAUAUGAUAAUGAGAGUGUGAAAGACAGCUGGAUUGUUGAAUAUUGGAAAUUAAUGAACCGUUGAACGGUUUAGAUUUGGAAUAUUGACCAGUCAUGGCACGUCACUUUAUAGUUAGAAACAUCUUCAUCUUUUGACCGGUGAAUGAUUGAUUAAUGCAUGCCCAUUUUAUUUAAUUUAAUAUUUGUAAACAGGUUGAUUAAUAGAAUAUCCAAUUACUAGCUCCUCCUUUUGGAAUUCCAUAGAUUACAAGGGCUAUCCUCAAUCGUCCAAUGCAUUUAUUUCACACAUAAUUUUUUAUUAUAAUUCAUAAAGAUUUUGAUGCUUUUCACCUGGAAUAAAACUUGAAAAUGGAGGAGAAAAAUAUCAAUUAUUUUUUGAAUCAAUUGAUAUUUAAAAAUUAUGAGUUUGAGAGAAUUUAGAUGUAUAAUAUUUUUUUUUUAUUUAAGUUUGUAAUAGAAUAGAAUGAUUUAAGAAUAAAUUAAAAAUUUUAAAAAAAUGAAAGAGAGAAAUUAAUUAUUUUUAAAAAAUCAACAAUGUUCCUUAUAUAAUUAAGUAAAUAUAAAUCUAAUGAAUAUAGAACAAUGGGAUGAUCAUGAUCGUCGUUGGCUUAUUUUGUACGUUGAGAAUAAUAGAAACUAAAGUACAGUCACAGAUAAUAUAAUGAAGCAUUGAACAACUCUCAUUCCUUACGGAAACGUAUAACCAAACAAAGAGAGUGAAAAGACACCUUUCAUUGUCGAAUGGCUCGAGGAAUCGGGAUUAAUGUGAAAUUAAAGACGAGUCUUUGAAUUAAUAUCAUAUUCCAGAACAAUAAGAUGAGAAAAUAGCAACAGCUACUACUAUCAAGGCAAAGUUGUAAUAACGAAAAGAUUAACAAUAAUUUUAAAAUAUUAGAUUCUUUGUUUCAUUAAUUGAAAUUUGAAAUUUAUUCUCUAACAAUUUUAAAUAUAAAAAAUAGUUAAAAAAUAAUAGCAAAGAGAUUUUUUUAACUAUAUUUUAACAAUAAACGUGAACUAAAAGUCGAUUUGGUCAAACUCGAUCGCACCUUAAGCUUUUCAAGGUGUGAAAUGGGCUCGGCCCAUUCACACUUCCACUCCACUGACCAUCUUGAGUAGAUUUUAGAGAAACUACCAAUUUCAUGAAAGUACAAAUAUAUAUAUAUCAGAUCCAUUCCAUUUUAUGCUUCUACUACCUUGUUUGCUUUUCUUUGUCUGUGUUUCUCUGUUUUUUACAUUACAGAAAUGGAAACAACUGCAGCAGCUCCAGCUCCAUACCUGCAUGGCAGUCAAAAACUUCUUCAUCUGGUUUGUGCAAUUUUUUUUUUCACUAUUUUACUUGGAUGAAUGGUUUGUGGGAGUUUAGGAGAUAUGUUGAACGAAAAGGAUACAACCAUAAAAGACAAGCUUGUAGUAGUAUUUUUUUUAUUUGAAUUUAGCUUACAUUUUCAUUAAUUGUUUAAAGCAGUUUGUUGAAAUGCAUAUAUCUAUGAUUAUAAACGUUGAUUCAGGUAAGGCAUGCACAAGGGCUUCACAAUUUAGAGGCAGAGAAGAGGCCAACAUCAAUUGACUUGGUUGAUCCUGAGCUCUCCUCUCAGGGCUGGCAGCAGGUGACAGAAGCAGUUUUAAAAAUAAAUCUUCGCCAUGGUUUCAUUUCGCCUAUGAGUAUAAUGUUGUAAUUAGGAAAUAUAAUAUAUAGCAGUUCCGUCAAUGGAUUUGUCCUGAAAUUUGCCUAGAUCCCGCAACCAGAAUAGACUAUUUUGAUAAGUGAAAAAUAAAAUGACGACAAAAAAAUUUACACAGAGAUUUACGUGUUUCAUGGGCCAAUACGAAUUUUACUAUGAAAGUCAAGAAAUUUACAAAAAACAAAAACAAAAAAAUAGGACACCCUAACCAAAAUCUUACCGUGUGCACUUUUAUUUUGCUCGCUCUCUCGGCUCUCUCUAGCUCUCUCUAGCUCUCUCGCUUCACUUUGGGAUUUUGGGAUGUCCGAAACCUUUGCAGCACGGGCCUUAUAUAGGCAUUGGACUCCUGAAAUUUCGCUUCUUAGCCCACCAUAUUGCAAGGCUGUCGGUGCUGACUUUCAUCUCCCAUGCAAAGUUUUCAAAUGUGGGUGCAAACUUCUUUUACUUUUGAAGCUGAGCUAGCCAAAAGAAUUCAUCCUUCUCCUUUCUUCUAACUUUACUGCUCCAAAUAAGAAUUGAUUGGCUAAAAAAAGUUUACAAUUUCAGCUUGACUUAUCAAGCCACCAAUCAACAGGAUUGUUACAGGAGUGACAUUUAAAUUAGCUAGUUUAACUGCAGGUUCGUGAUCAGCGGAAAAAUCUCUCUGCAAGCGGGCUGCUGGAGAGGAUUGAGGUAGUCAUCACGUCCCCUUUGUUAAGGUAUCGAUUUCUCAUAUUUCAGUUUCUCUAGCCCCUCCAAUAUCAAAUCAAUAACUUCAAAUAUAUCCUUGAGUAUCUAUCUCAAUCUGAAUUCGUCAGGAUAACAUUUCGGUCUCUCUUGGGGGGUUCUAAGGAAUGGUCCUUGAUUUUAAUGGUUGAAUUGCAGGACAUUGCAGACGUCAGUUGGAAUUUUUGGUGGUGAUCCAGAUCGUCCGGAUCAUGUAACUCCAUUACAGGAGGCAAAUAUAGAGAAUGACGGUCAGCGUGGGAUAUCAACUUUCAAUCGCCUACCAAUUAUAGCAUCUGAACUUUGUCGAGAACGCAAGGUAUGUUGCUGACAUAUCUAACUCCAGCAUAGAUUCCUUAAUUUGAGAGUGAAAUUGAAGUAGGCAAUCUACAUGCCUUUAUUAAUAAGUUAGUCAUUGGCGAUUUAUUUAUAUAAGUUUGGAAAUUAAAGCUUACGUUUUUGUUCUCACAUGAUCUAUGAUCCAAUUCAAUGUAGAGUAAAAAUCGACAGAGAGGAACCCUCAGCCAGUGCCGGUCUCGUUUCCCUGCAGUUGAUUUUUCUUUGGCAAGUACUUCAAUCACUUGUAGUUUCGCCACCGUACGUCCUGGUUGCAUAUAUAGAAUAAUUACUUGAUUCCAUAUGUAACAAAUUAGUCCACUACACUUCUGUACUUCAGAUUGAAAGUGAAGAUGACGUUUUGUGGGAGUCUGACGAACGCGAAACCAAUGAAGCAGUUGCAGCUAGGGGAAUUAAGUUUAUCAAAUGGUGUGUGUACUAAAAUCUUCAAUUCUUAUAAACUAGGGCUAUCCGCUUUCCUGUCAUGCACAUAUGUAUAAUAUAGCUGUGUUGAUUAUAAAAACCAACAGAAGACCCUGGUGAGUACCUACAGAUAUUAUCAGAUUGUUUAUAUUUUAAGGAUUUUAAUGACAUACUCACGUCUGCUGAACAUAUAUGCAUUGGAUACUGAUACUAAAAGAAAUGAAAACUUAAUUAGUGCAGCAAAUUAAGCAAAGAUCAAAUUUCUUGUGGGGAUGAUAAUCUCGAGUAAUUUAAGUACUUUUCAAUCGAUACAGUGCAAAAGCCAAAAUCAACUCCAAUAAACUUGUUUAUGUCGCUUAAUCUUAAUUCCAGGUUGUUGGGACGGAAAGAAAAGGAGAUAGCAGUGGUCAGCCAUGGAGUUUUUUUACAGCAGACAAUGAUUGCACUUAGAAAUAAGUGUUACCCCUUAGUGGAUGGUGAUUUUAAUUACAGCCGGUAAUUCAGUGUACAUAUCAUAUAUACAUACAUACAUACAUAUAUAUAUAUAUAUAGUCCUCUAAUUCUCGUGUUAUUGAAACUGACACACACCAAACCUCAAGCAAUUUUACUGUUAAAACCUUUUUGCACAAGUCAAAGCUAUCCUCAUAUUGUUGUCCUAUAUAAAUAUGCAGGUUCGGAAAUUGUGAAAUUCGUUCAGUGAUCAUUUUUAAUGAAAGGUGAGCACAUAAAUUUGCAAAAAAAAAAAAAAAAAGAAAGAAAAAGCAAAUGUGUUUAUCCUCAUUAAUCUAUGUAAGUUCUCAUAUCCUUUUUAUUUUUUAUUUGCAUCUUGUAGCGUAAUGGGAUUGGGAUCAGAUUCCUUGACAACUAGCUAUCAGGCCCAUGGUGGAAGAAUCACUCGUUAUGGACUUCAACUCCAAAAUGAUUCUGCCGAGGAUAAUGUUCCAGUCGAUGAAGCGACCAACUAAUAGCUAAAUCCCUGCCAUUGGAUCCAACAUACUAGGUGUUUUCCCAAGAACUAGUUUGAAAUAAUCUUUAAUCAUUAAUAUCGGUAAAUAUGCCGAUAAAUUGUAUAAUCUAUUGAUAAAAUGUUAUAUUAAUAUUGUCAUAUAAACUUUAUUUAUCAUUUUGCCAUAUUAAUGUUGCUAUAUAACUUUGUUGAAUGGCAUUCUAAUUGAACUUAAAUAAUAAUAAUAAGUUCAUUAAAACUAUAGAUAAACGUGAAAUUCUUUAUUUUAAAUUUUCUUAUAGAUAUAUUUUUUUAUUAACUUGUUUGGUGUAAAUUUAUUCAUGAAAGUUUCUCACUUCUAAGAUUUUUUCUUAGUUUGUCUAGUAUAGCGUAUACAUGAUUAUUUAUUUAUUUAUUUUUAUUUAUUAUAACAAUUUUUUUUAUAAAGUUUCAUAAAUAUACACUAUAAAAGAAAUCAAUAAACAAUUAACCAACAAAAUGUAAAAUUUGAAGCUGUAAAUUCAAGUAUGGAAAAAUUAAAACAUGAAAUUUUAAAGCUCUAAAACGUCUCUCAUUUUUUAUUGAGACAAGAACAAUUAUCAGUCCUAAUAUAUAGGAUUUACUUGUUGUAAAUUUAAUUUGUAAUCCAAACCGAAGUGGUAAUUAGUAAAGAUCAUGGAACUUUCUUUGGUUCCUCUCUAUAUAGAAAGAAAGGAUAAAAAAAAUGAAAAUGCUAAUGAAAGUUAUUUUAUCCUUAAAGUUUUACAAUGUAAAUGAAAGCAUAAUUUAAGUUACUAUCUUGCAAAUAUUUUGAUAGGCUCAUUUCAUAUUCAUAUUUGCCAAUUUUCAAAAUUAAAUUUGUGAAAUGCACAUUUUCACAAAAACAUAUCAUCUAUGAUUAUUAUAAAUAAUUAAUUAUAAAUUAAAAUUAUAUAAAAAUAAUUUUUAAAAAAUGUGAAAUUUAUUAAAAUUUUGUAUAAACUUUAUGUUUAUAAAUGAUAGAUUCUACAUAAUAUUUUGUCGAGAUGAAGUAAUUGAAGAAUCGUAAUAAAAAAAUUUACAAGAAGAGUGAAAUGCUUGAUGAUCAAAAGCAAUUUUGGGAUAUAGACGAUUAACCCUUUGUCUAAGUUGACAAAAACAGUAGGACAGAUGCACCUAGCUAAUAACACAGAGUCAGUACAAGAAUAGUAAUCAUGCGGCCACUGUCAUUGAAGUUAAGGGACAUAGAGACCAAUGGGAGUAGUACCGAAGAAAAGACAUCCUCUGAAUGAUUAAUUCAAUUGUGGAAUAAUUCAGGGAAGUCAUGAACCCUCCAAUGGUUUGGAAAGCUAUGUCUUUGUCUUACUAACAAAUUCUAAUGGUUUAUGUUAAUGUUGACACCACCUUACUCUUAAACAGUUAAUUUCUUUAUAAAAAUUCUCUCUCUCUCUCUCUCUCUAUAUAUAUAUAUAUAUAUUUUUUUUUUUUCAAUAUAAUUUUUAACUCUACAAUCAAAAUCAGAAGACUUGUACAUAUUUUAUUUUUUACUUUACUAAUCCCACAUUUGAAAUCUAAAAAUUUCACUUUUAAUGGAUGAAAUUAGAUAUCUAUGGAAUGAAACAUUUCCUUUCCUAUUCUCUUUCCCACCUUAAUUAAAAUCAAAUUUUCAUCAAACCCAGAAAUUCAUUAGGCUGGAUCUAAGCUUCCUUUUAUUGAUAUUCCAGAGUUACAACAAAAAGGCAUCUCUCUGAUAGUGGAACGAUAAGGACAGGGCCACAGGGGAUAUGCACUCAAAUUAUAUACAUAGUUAUAUUAUAAGUAAGCAAUUAACUACACGCUAGUUGUCCAAGUCAAGGUUAUUUGUCUUUUUGAGAUGCAGCCUUGGCAGCAUGCAAGUAGAUCCAUUCUUCAAUGAAAUCCCGACCUCAAAUUCAUCAUAGAAAUGUCUCCUUAGGAGACAUAGUCUCUUUCUUUCACUAUGUGAGGAAAAAAAAAGCAAGAUCAGAGAUAUGUUAGUAACAAGUCAUGGUGUAACCGAUCCUAAAAAGGUCUGCAACUUUUACCUUCAAUUGAAGUCCAUAUAUAGUGAAUCAACAUUAUUGCUACCCGAGGUGCUUCCAUCCUUCAACUGGUGAAGCAAAUGGGGCGCAUCAUACUCCUUUUCAGCAUUCAUGUGCUGAUAAUUAGGAGGAUGAUCGCUUUGGAGUAACAUUUGCAGAACCGUUCUCAUGCAGGGUCUUAUUGAAGGCAAUGUUCUAGUACAAUAGAUUCCGAGUUUGAAGACGUUGCACAUUUGAUUCAAGUGACAACCUUCCUUGAUAUCUUCAUCUAAUGCAUCUAGUAUUGAGUUGCCUCCUUGAAUGUAAUCUUGAGCCCAUUCUGCAAGUGAUCUGUUUUCAUCUCCAUGACUCGCUUUUCUUCCCGUUGUUAGCUCCAAAAGGAUGACUCCAAAGCUAUAAACAUCAAUCUUUUCGUUUAUUCUUCUUGUAUGAGCAUAUUCUACAGUUCAAUUCAAUUAAAAAUAAGGAUAAUAUUUAACUAGAAAUCAAGCUAGUAGAAGUGGAUGCAAAAUUGAAUCAUAUAACAAAAAGAAGUCUAACAAUAUUGUCCAUGCUGCAACUCACCAGGAGCAAUGUAGCCGAAGGAACCAGCCACCACAGAAAUUGUUGUAGGUUCUCCUUGUUUGAUUAACAUCUUAGCUAGACCAAAAUCAGCGAUUUUAGCAUUGAAUUCAGAAUCUAAUAGGAUGUUGCUUGAUUUCACAUCUCGAUGAAUAAUGGGAGGGAAGCAAUCAUGGUGCAUAUAGCAGAGUCCUUGGGCAGCUCCAAUUGCAAUUUGGAAUCUCUUAGGCCAGUCCAAGAUUAUUGCUGAUGCUCGAUGCUUAUCCAACCAUUGGUAUAGGCUACCAUUUUCCAUGUACUCAUAAACCAGAAGUCUUGACAUUGAAUCCUCACUUGAGAUGCAACACAUCAGUUUCACUAUGUUCAAGUGCUGAAUUCUACUCAAUGUCAUAACUUCAGCUUGAAAUUGCUUUUCCAAUUCCUGCUCCAACUUUUUGUUAUUCCAAAUCCGUUUAACAGCAACAAAAUCACCAUUGCCAGUUAUAUCAACACGGUAGACUUCUCCUGACCCCCCAUCUCCAAUCCUGUUUGUUUGAUCUUUCAAUCCUGAUAAAAUGCCUUCUGUUGUGAAAUUCAACAUUUGGAAAGGGGUGAGCUCCCAUAUUGAACCUGGUGCACGAUUUCUCUUCCUAUAUAAUUUAGUCAGGAAGAACGAAACAGAUAAACACAGUACAAGAACUGCUGCACUUGAAAUCCAAAUAAGAUUUUGAGGAUAACUUAAGCUAGAGUUUUUUUGUGAACCACAAAUGUGAAGGUUUACAUUUGCAGUAGUUGCACAAAGACCAGGAUUGUUUACGAAGCUGUUGGAAUAUGCAUCAUUUUCAAACUCUCUUGGAAUGUUCCCCGUGAGAUGAUUGGAAGAAAGGUUAAAGGAAGUAAACCUUAGACGACCAAGUUGAGGAGGAAUUUGGCCAGAAAAUUGGUUUUCUGACAAAUCCAAUUGGUUAAGGCACGGUAGAAAACCAAUGGCCUUUGGAAUUUGACCAAAAAGUUUAUUUUUACUAAGAUUUAGAGUACUGAGUGACCUCCAUGAGAUUAUAUCAGACGGAAGGGAGCCAUGGAGUUGGUUUUGAUCAAGCAAAAGAAUAGACAGAGAUGGAAGAGCUGUUAAUUCUCUCGGAAUCGUACCAUUAAGGAAGUUGUUACUGGCAUUAAAUACAGAAAGUUUCCUCCAUAGCUUCACUUCAACAGGAAUUUUUCCGAAAAACCUGUUGUUACUGAUCUCAAGUCGGGUGAGAUUAUAUGACACUUUUCUGGGAAGCUCACCUGUGAACAAGUUGUCACUUAUCAUUAACUUUGAUAAGUCCAACGAUGUCCAUAGACCACUAGGAAUGCUCCCAGUAAGACCAUUCCUGGAGAUUUCGACUGUUGUUAAGCUAUUACAGUUACCAAGUGAUUUUGGCAAUUCUCCAGUAAGAUUGUUAUCAAAAGCUACAAUUCCUAGCAACUUACCUCCAUUGCAUAAAUUCUUAGGCAACAUCCCCGUAAGCCUGUUAGAAGCAACCUCGAAUAUCUGGAGCAUUGAGUACCGGCCGAAAUCUAGAGGCAGGGUGCCUGACAAUUGGUUGCUAAACAAUCUAACGUCUGUUAAUGUUGAGAUUCGUCCGAUGCCUUCUGGAAUUUCACCCGACAGUUGAUUGGAAAACAGAACCAAACCCGAUAACUUUUCUAGUUUCCCAAUAUCACUCGGGAUUCUUCCAGUCAGGUUGUUUUGAGAAAGAUCAAUCACAGUCAGAUUGGAAGAUCUAAUUACUUGAGGAAUCUCUCCAACUAAACUGUUGUUGAAAAGAUCUAUCUUCUUCAAAUUCUUUAACAAGAACAAAGCAUUUGGGAUUUUUGCCGUCAAUACAUUGUUAGAUAAAUCCAAUACCUCGAGAGCUGCCAUAUCUCCAAUUAUAUCGGGGAUUUCACCAAUUAAAUUUGCAUUACACAUCCAUAAUGUCUUCAGCUUCUUCAAUUGUGUGAAACUUGAAGGCAACUUGGACGGCAGUAACUUUGAAUUAUAUGCCAAUCCCAAAUAUUCAAGUUCAGACAAGUUGCCAAUUUCCGGCGGGAGAGAACCAUUGAACUGGUUUGCAGCAAGCUGAAGGUUCCUUAGCUCUUGUAACCGUCCAAUGCCUACGGGAAUGUCACCAGAAAAGUUAUUACUCGUAAGGUUCAAGCACUGGAGCCGACGCAGUCUGUCAAUGUCAUCAGGGAUUGUGCCGACAAAAUAGUUUUGAGAGAGGUCCAAGUGCUCAAGUUUGGAACAGUUGUAGAGAGGUUUUGGAAAUUCACCUAUGAUGUUGUUGUAGUUAAGAUCAAUGGAUGUAAGGUUCUUAAGGCCACAAAUGAAAGAUGGGAUUUUUCCGUUGAUUGUCUUGUUGGAAAGGUGUAACUCAGUGACUGAGUUGUUAGUGCAAGUGAUUUCAGGCCAGCUGCAAUGGUUGGAAAAGUUUGAUGACAGGAUCCAGUGGCUGAUGGACGAUGGAUUUUGCCAAUAUUGCUUUAGUUGAAUUAAGAUAGCUUGUUCUUGAGCAUCAUGCAGUUGGGAGCAUGCAUGGCUCAGAAGGAGAACAAGGGCGAGGGCAUUGAAAUGAAUUUGGAGGAAUGCGGCUUUUGCUUUCGACAUUUGGGACAUGGGGAAGUUUGUGGUAUAUGUAUUGUUUGCUACUAAACAAGAGUGAAAUUCAGUAUCAGAAUCCCGCUGACUGAAGCAUAGAAGUGUAAUUUAACGGCUAUAUUUUCAAGGCUUGAGUGGGUGGAAUGGGUAGCAAUGAAGAAUUAAUGGUAGAAUCUUAAAAGGGCUAUGCUUUCACAACUUAAGGGGUUGAAUAUUUAUAACUAGCUGGAAGCAUUUUUUUUUUUAUUUAUUUCAAAGGAUGACAACGCCCUACUACAUAAAACAAAGAGAGGAGGUAAUUUGGUUUGAACCCAAGCUCUAAUAUUUUUCGUAAGGUAUUUUUGCUAUUAGGUCAAGAAAAAAAAAAAAACUCGUUGGGAGCAUUCAAGGGGUUAGAUAUUCAAUGAUUCUUUGGAAACUGGAGCCAAUGAUAAUACUCCAAUUUACAAAGAUUCUUAUUAAAUGGUUCUCGUUAGAGAACCGAUCCCUACGAACAAGUCGUGGAAAAGGGAGUUUGAUAAUAAAUGGUCCAAUGGAACACUGACAAAGACACUACUCUCAGUCUCAGGGAUUAGAAGCCAGAACCAGUUAGUUAGCCAUGCUCCCAAGUCGAAGAGUAAGGAAAACUAGUCUAUUAUACUGCAUUUUUUAGGUUAUGGUAAAUAAAUCUAUAGAAAUUGAAAUAAUCAUACUUUUUAUCUUAUUCCAAAAGAUGUUUCGUCUUUUCUUGGCACUGACCCCUCCAAAACGGUCUUUUCUAGUACAUGUAACAUGCUACUAUCACAAUUAGUACACCCCAGCAAUUAGAAAAACAAAAAGGUAGAAGUAAUAAAUUUGCUUUGGCUGCCAAAUUGUUGUUUUAAGUUUCCCAUGGAUGGGAUGGAGUAAUCUACGUGAACAUAUAAUUGAGUUAAUAUCAUUUUAUGUUAACAACUACUAGUUAAAACUUGAUUAAUGACCUCAAAAGGGACACCUUAAAUUUAAAACUUGAAGAUCGAAGUUCAGUUCUUAAAACUGAGAUGGGAUGACAAGGAAAAUAAUUAUUUUUUAUUGUGUAAUCCAAAAUUUUAUAUAUACUAAAAAUUUUAAAAAAAAAACUCGAUUAAAUAAAUCGUAUAUGCUUAUGAUCAUAAAAGAAAUUAACUUUAUACAUACAUGCAUAUGUAUGCAGAAGAGAAUACCUGCAUUUUUUCACAUUUUAAAUCUGUGUGUAUAUGAAAUGUUUAGGUUAUCACAUCUGUUGGAAAUUAGUGCAACGUCGUAGUUAUAUAGGUGGGGAAGAGGUUGGUGUUGGCCUGUUAGGGAGUGGUGGAGGGGGAGAAAGAGAGGAAAGGUCAAAAGAGCAUGAUCCUUUCCUUUUGGAGGAAGACCAAAAGAAAGUAUCGCCAAAGACUUUGACCCACCUAAGAGAAACAGGCAUUUUAAUAUCAUAUCAAUGAAAAACAAGACUCUUGAGCUUGACUCAGAGUGCAAUCAAAGAACAUUUUCAUGGCCACCAUCCACAAUGGAAUGGCCCUGCUAGGCUGCCACCAUGUUUAAUUUAACCCUUCGUUCCUAAUUAAUUUAUGGAAACAGUUUCUUGGCCACUAUUUGUAGUGGAAUGAUCUUAUUAUGUUGUUUAAUUUAGUUCUCCACGCAUAAUGCAGUCAAAGAACAAUGGAAUGACCACUAUUUUCAGUAGGAUGGUCCUGCUACAAACUUAAGUCCUUCCACUUCAUUUAAUUAGAUACUAGUAGAUUGAUCAGAAUCAUUCUAGUGGCAUCAGAAUCAUUCUAGUAGCAUCGGAAUCAUUUUAGUGGCAUCCUUGUCAGAUUGCCAUAUCAUGGGAAAAAAAGUUUCAAAUGCCAUUGCUAUUUUGUGUGGGUUAGGCAAGGGAAAGGUAAACAAAUUUGGAUCAUAUAUAUGUUGCAACUUCAGAGGCAUUUGCAGUCCUGCCAGUUUAAACUUAAGAAAGAAGGUCUGCGUAUGUCUCUGUGUGUGUGUGUGUGUGUGUGUGUGUGUGAGACAUCACGAUAGCAUGCAUAUUAUUACAUAGUUCCUUCUGAAUAAAGUGUGUGCAUGUCUGCGUGUCUCAAAAUAAGGAAUAAAACUGAAAACUGAAAGUGCUUGAUGUCCAGCUCUGACGACUGUAAUACUACAUGAAAUCUAUGAUAAAGCAAGACAAGUUUUCUGUCAAGUAACAUGCUCAGAUAGCACUGCCCUGCAGUAGGAGGCAUGCCCUCUUAUUGCAGGACAUCUCAAUAAAUUAUAACCCUCCCCCAAUCCCUUCCUCUUUUUUUCUUGCACAUAAAUGCCAGUCCCACUAAAAAAUGGAAACAAAUCGAAGCCAACUAAGGCACAUAAAUCCCAGUUCCACUAAAAAAUGAUGUUCUUUGCUAUUCAACUUAUUAUUGCAAGUCGAGAACAAAUAGAGUCUAAAGUAUAUAGAUCAUUCAUCAUUCACAUUCUGACUAGCAGAAGAUAAUGGAUGGAUUGAGACAUAUAGUCUUAGAUGGAAGUUUACUGGCUAGGCAUAUAAAGUCUUGCUCUCUUUCUGAUAGUUGGGAAAGAGGAAAUCUUAACUUUUGACCUUUUUGAAAGUAAGGUGUGGCUAGCAUCAAGCUAUUAUCUUGGCCCGAAACAAGUCAUAAUUAAUAUAAGGAAUCAAAUGCUACUUCUCUAUAUAAAGAAGACGACUCUGAAUUUCGAACUAAAGCAGGGUCUAAAGCCUAAAUGCAAAAUGCGAUUGCGGUUUCACAAUUUUGGUACAAUGGCAUCAGUAGUAUAACAUCCAAGCCAUUUACUUCCAACUCUACAAUAACAGGUAUCGUCUACUGACUCAAGCUCAAACAACUUACCGAUGAAUGAAGAGAGUAAAUAUAAUUUUUUAACGCCGUUGGAUGCAUUGCUUGCACCAUAGCUUAGAUGUGAACAGUAAUUAUAGCAGCAAAAACACAAGAUUGCAAAUAAGCUUAUCAAGAGUUAUAUUAUGAAGCGAGACUGUAAAUGGCAGCAUAUAAAAAGCAAUAAGCUAUCAACAUCAUAUCACCAAACUGAAAAUUUUAUAAACUGCAACAAACAAUGACACAGCAUAAUUUUAAGUUGCCAUAAUAUUGAACAAGGAUCGUCAAUGUAGUACUAGAAUUUAACAAACAUGUAAGUAUUUAAUGGUUUACCGGGUUUAAGAAUCAAGGGUCACGUUGUUGAGCCUCUCCAGAGCCAAAAUCAAAGCUUAGGUUCCCAAAUUCCCUUCCCCAUGAGCCUUAAGCGACAAAUAAAGCUGUUGAGCCAAAGCCAAACCGGGCAAAGCAAGUCCCAUGUUUUGACAAUCCUUUAAACAAAUCCCCAAAUCCUUAACAAAAUGAUUCACGAAGAAGCCCGGAUCGAAAUCCCUCUUCAAAAUCCUUCUCCCAUACAAAUCCAAUGAUUUUGGAGCCAGCUGCCCCCAUUGAUAUCGCAUCCAAAAAUGACGCCACAUUGAGCCCUGCUUUGUGGGCGUAAAUAAUUCCUUCUACUAAUCCGACCGUGGUUGAUCCUAUCGUGAUUUGAUUCGCUAAUUUUGCGAAUUGGCCUUUCCCGCUGGGGCCCAUGUAAUUAAUUUUUACCAUGAGGGUAAAAAGGGCGUUUAAACGGUGGACGAUGGCUUCCUCUCCGCCCGCGAAUAUGGCGACGGUCCCGUUCUUGGCACCUCGGUCGCCUCCAGAGACGGGGGUGUCGAUGGAGUAGCAGUUCUUGGAGGAGGCGGCAGCGGAUAUUUCGACGGCGAGGGAAGGUUCCGAUAUUGUCAUGUCCACGAGUAUGCCGCCGUGACGGACACCGGAGAGGGCUCCGUCAGUGGGACCGAGAAGGACUUGGCGGACGUCCGAAGGGUAGCCGACGAUGGAGAAAACAACGUCGGAUUGGGCGGCGAGGUUGUGAGGAGUCUGGGCUAGGCGAGCACCCACGUCGACGAGGGGUUGGGCCUUGGAGAGGGUUCGGUUGAAGACGGUGAGAGUGUAGCCAGAGUUGAUUAGAUGAGCACACAUGGAUCGGCCCAUUACGCCGGUUCCAUUCUAGCCCACGCUGGUGUUGGAUGGGCUGAUGGGCUCGGAAGCUUCGUAUGUGGCCAUAGAGCCGAGAAGAGAGGUAGGGUGAGGAGGAGAGGGAGUUUCAGAAUGGUGAUAAUAGCGAGAGAGUGAGCGGAAUAUAAAUGAUAAUGAUCGCAUUUUAUUUUUAUGCGAAUUAUCUUUUUUUUUUUUUUAUUGUGUGAGAAAUGGUAAUUUACUAAAAUUUUGGUUCGAUUUUGAUUGUCAGGAUUUGUUUUUUGUUUUUUCUUGGACAAUAAUAAAGCCGGCCAUGUUUUGUCUUCUGCUAUAAAUCUGAAAUUCAGCGACCAUUUACCUGCUAGAUAAAGGAACAUAGUUAACCAUCAGCAAUCAGUCUGCCUUACGCCAGUCCAGGGUCAUGGAAAGAUCAACUUGGUUUCAUCAGAAAAUGAAGUUCGAGGCAACGUAAAGCAACCCAUCCUUCAAUCUUCUUUCUUUGGCGAGCAAACAGAGAAAUUUGCAUCUAGCUGUUGAUUAAUCAUUGUAACACAUCCGCUGUUCCAACAGAUGCAAUGGUUAGCAAAAAAAGGGAAAGCUGCAGAAUGCAAUGGUUUCGAUCGAGAGCAUAAUUAUGAAAAUAACAAUCCAUAAGAAAAGACACUUUUGUGUCAAUAUAUCAAUGCAUUAACAUAUGUAUUCAGCACAAAAGUCAAAUUAGUUUGUAGCACAAAUCUACUUGAACAGAGGAAAACAAAGGGAUAAAUAAAACUAUCGUUUACUCAAAAAGUAGAGAGAACAUAUUGAAUGUCUUGUUUCCAUGUAACAAGCAGAAAUGCCCCAUUGAAGGUCUUGUUUCCAUGUAACAAGCAGAAAACGUAUAACUGAUAUAAAGAUGCAACUCAGAGGGCAAAUAAUGGAUAACCAUGAAAGGGAUUUUAACAAAAAUCAAUAUAUGAAAAAACAGAAAUCAGAAUUUCAUGCAGCAAAACUGUCAGUUUAUGAAACUAUAGUAAAGCAAAGACAUAGUAAAGCAAAGACCUUUCCGAGGAGAAGGGCAAAAGCAAUAGCAACAUAACCAUUGAUUCACAUACAAGCAUCACCAAUAUCUCCUAACAAAAUUUGUCCAUUGCUUAUUAUACUACUAUUCAAAAUUUUCAUCAAAAAAAAAAAAAAAAGAACAAUGGAAAAUAAAAGAUUCUAUAUUUAUAUCAAAAUAAAAACUUUUAACCUCUUUAAAUGCUCCAUUUCACUUUAACUCAAAAGUUGGCAAGGGCGGUGCAUCAAAACUCUCCAAAAUCUCUGUUUUGGCACCUCCACUUCUGACCUCAUCUUUCUUCUUGCCUCCACCAAACCACCCUCCAAACCAACCUGAAUCCGAGGAAGAUCCAACCGUAUUUCCGGUCUGACUCGGCAAGCCCAUUGGGAGACCAACCCCAUGCCCCGGUUCUUCGAUCAUUACAGGCAUACUUUGUUGGGCGGAGAGGACUUUGUUGAGCAUGAUCCCAGAUCCUUCGAUAAGAGCCAAUAGGACCCCACCCAAAAGGGCCGAUCGAGCUGAGGCGCCGAGUCCUUGGCGCAUCUGAAGGAAGCCACCGGUGGCGGCUCCGGCGAAGAUGGAGUUGCAAGGGUCUUCCUUUUGGCGAACAUAAACCAUGGUGCAAUCGAAGGCAGAGAAGAGACCUCCCCAGACAGCGAAGCUUCCACCCACACGCGGAGCAUUCAUACGAAGGGCUUGUGAGCCGCGGAGGAAGCAUGAACCAGUUGCCGAGUUGUAGAAGCCCUUGAGGAAGUGGAAAGCCGAUCCUCCCACCGCUCCCAUCCCAAACGCCCCGCCGAUGUCGUCGAGGAUGCGAUCAGGGCAAAGUUCCCGAGAGGUUUCUGGAGUUCCCGUUCUAGAUUUUUUUUUUUUUUUAGUUCGGUUUUUCUGUGGGCUGAUUAGGUCAGGGGGUAUUGGAGGGGUUUUAGCUUUGACAGUGGUAAAUGAAAUGAGACCUUUUCGGUGGUUUCUUCCUUUUCUUGGAAGAGUGUCGUUCUUUGUGUUCGAUUUUAAGUUAUCGGCCUGACGGAAAAGCCCCUCUGGAAAAGUCAAAAGAGUUCGAUAUUUUCGAUUUACGGUGUAUUUGUUUUAUUGAAUUUCAAACAAAUUUCUUGUUGGGAAAAGAAACAGAUAUUUGUAUUGACGGGAAAAAAAAACAAAAGGGCAUUGUCGGCAUUUAACAAGGAUAUUUCAGUCACUUCAGAAACAGAAAAACCGGGAGGUUUUGCAAUGGCGGCGUCGUUUUGAGCUUCGGCAGCCAAUGAAACCUAAAAAAUCAUUUGCUAAUUGCUAUGAUGCUAUCGGUUAUAAAGAACCAGACGUGUAAAAUCAUUAAAGGAAGCUGGUCUAACCAUUGACGGAGAGUGGAUAUGGUUAUUGCUUUACUAACAGGUAGAGUUUUCUUUCACUGAACUGCCUUUUCAAUUUCCAAGUUCAUGUCUCAUUUAUAAAGAGAGUGGUAGUUCUGUAAUUCUAUCUAAGAAUGCGCACAAUGGUACUUUAACCUGACAAAGAGCCAAGCAUUUCCAAUUGUUAUUAGAUUUUCUUCACAAACCAAAUGUGUCCAACAAUUUCAUACCUCAAAAAACCAAUCUUUACAAAUUGGGUCUUGUCCAAAACCCUCGUUAAACCCUUCCUUGAUGAAUACCACCCAUAAAGUUCUCCACUUUCACCAUAAGUCCUUAAAAUUUAGCAGUUUGGAAAAACCCAGAAGUAUUUUAAGUGGGUUUAGGAUGAGGUGUGCUAUACAUUGUUGUUCUUUGGUAAGAGCUAAAAGUUAAUCGUGUUUGCAUUCAAGAACUGGUGAAGAGAGGGAUUUAACUAGAGCAGGGAAAUCAUUGCGUUGGUUAGCCUCGGAGAAAGUGAAUGGGUCGAAAGGGUAACAUAAAGUAGCAAUUGCGAAGGCUAAUAGUUGUUCUUCUUGGAAGGAAUUGUUUGAUAGGUUGGAGAUAGAGAAUAAUCGCUCCGCUUGGGAGGAAACACCGAAGUGGUUGGAGAAGGUGACGGUAGGAAAAACUGGACAGUCCUUAGGGGAGGAUUCCGAUUCUGUUGAAUCUUUUUUGUGAAAAAAAAGGGUGCUCACUUACUAGAUAUGAAAGAGAGUAGACAUAGGAACUUACGUAUGAUGAGUGAUCAUCGUAACAGUAGUCAUGGCUGAGGGGAUGAAAGCAAUUAAGAAAAAAAAGUAAGAGAAGAGGAUGAGGUUGUCAAUUAUUCAAAAUGGGAUAAGAUUAAGGGUAGGUUUAGAGGAAUGGUUGGCGUAGAACUUGGGUCUGAGAAACCAGAGUGUCGAAGAUGGAAUAACCAAGAAUGUUGGGGUAGGAAAACAUGGAAAGGGGCUACUGAUUCAACUUUACCUAAGAUGGUUGGUGGAGGGGUUUAUGGGGUGGGUCCUGUUUUGGCUGCAUUGUCUGCUGGAAGAAGGGAAUUUUAGGCUUUGUAUGUCCAAGAAGGAUUAGAUUUGAGUAGUAAUAAUAGGAAAAAAAAGGAUUAGAAAGGGUUUGAAAAAGUUUUUAUGAUGGCUGAAAAACUUGGCUUAAAUGUAAAGGAAGUUUCAAAGCAUGAUCUCAAUAUGGUUGUUGAUAACCGCCCCCAUCAGGAUUUGGUGCUUGAUGCUUCCCCCUUAUAGAUGGUGAAAAUAAAGGAAUUGGAUUCUGUCUCAAAUGAUGAAGAAAAAGUUUAUCUUUGGGUAGCUUUGGAUGAGGUUACUGAUCCUCAGAAUUUGGGGGCAAUAAUUAGGUCGGCUUACUUCUUUGGAGCCUCAGGGGUGGGGCUAUGUGCAAAAAAUUCAGCUCCAUUAGGUGGUGUUGUGAGCAAGGCAAGUGCUGGCUUACUUGAAUUAAUGGAGCUUCGAUAUAGCAAGAAUAUGAUGCAGUUCUUAGCAUCAGCCGAAAAUGGUUGGCGAGUUCUUGGGGGCUCUGUUUAUUCAAAAGUUGUCCCCUUGAAUGAUGUUUUGCCAGGCGUGCCAACCGUUCUUGUUUUAGGCAGUGGAGGUACUGGCUUGUGUCCUUUAGUAGAGAGAUCAUGCACUCAGUUAGUUGGGAUUCCUGGAAACUUUCCUGUGGACAUAGCAGCCAGAGAGGUUAAUGAUAUGGAACCUACAGAAGUGGAUUCUGGGUGCUCAGGCAGGGAGCUCCGGUCCUUUUUGGCUUUGGAGAGCUUGAAUGUCAGUGUUGCAGUAGGUGUGCUUCUUCACCACUUAAUUGGAAGCGGUAUUAAUUUUCCAAUAGAUGACAAGCCAACUGAUAUGCAUCAAUGAUAUGCCAUGGCUGAUGCAUUAAGCUUGGUGUCUUGUCAUCGUCUAAUACUUAUUUCAGAAAUUUUAUCACCAUUCGUAAGGCUUUUUCUAGAAAUGGAAAUAGGUUGACAACUCUGACUUCUACUUUUUUCAGAGGAAAGAUAAGUGAUAAGAGACUUUAUAUUGGUUAUAUGCAGAAAGAUCUUUUUUAUUGCUACAUGUGGUUGAUUUGAUAUGGAAAAUGAAUAAACCAUUAACAACACUUGGAAUGCAAUGACAGAUUCGGAAUUUCCUUGGAAAUUUAAUGGUUACUGUGUGUGGAUUUGUAGGCUUUCUCAAACUGCUGAAUUGCUUUGAAAUUUCGUAUGAUUUUGAUUUGAUUCUAGUACAGAAAUACAAACUAAAGUCAAUGUUUGUCUGGUGUUCUUGCGGAAUUGUAAAAGUAGUUAGAUUUCAUAAGCAAAGGCUUUUCAAUCAUAAAAUAAAACAAAAGAAACAAAAAUUAUAAGGUACAAAUUUUAUUUGAGUGAGUGAUUUAAAUUUUAUCAUUACUUUUUUAAUUGGUGAAAUUUUAUCGUUAAAUUAUUAAUUUUUGAGCAAAUUAAAAUCAAGUUAAAGUAUGAUAUAGUAUUAUGUUUAAUAGAAAAUGCAGAAAUAAAAUAAAAUUAAAAAUUUUGGAAUUAUGUGGCAUUGCAUGUAAUAGACAAUGCCAUAACAAAAAAUAAUAAAUAAAAUAAAAAUUUAAAUUUUAGUUUAAUGGUUGUUCUAUUUUUGCUAUAUUAUUAUAAAAUUUAUUUCUCCAACUGUAAAACAGUUUCUAACAAAAUUUUUAUUCAACAUUCUUUAAUUGCUUUUAAAUUUUAAAAUAUGAUAAUAAAUUUGCUCCAAAAUGAAUAAUAUGGUGUGAAAAUUAAGUCAAAUGAAAUAUUGCUGGUGAAUAACCACUCACAUAAAAUGAUAAAUUUAUAACAUCUCAAAUAAAAAUAUAAAGAAAGAAGUUUGAAAACUCAUGCCACGAGAACAAUGUGGACUAGGAAAAGUUAUUCAAAGAUAAUUUCCUCAUUGGCAUAAGGGUAUCACUAGCCUUAUAUACACUCAUUAUGUGAGUGAAAUAUGUAAAAAGUUUGAUAAUUAAAGUAAAUAUUAGUAAAAUAAUACAAAAUAUUUUACAUAGUUAUUUUGAAAUGUAAAAAAAAAAAAAAAACUCAAAGUACUGAUUUUUAAAACCAAAAAAAGUAAGCAAAGUUGGUUUUUUUUUUUUACUUUUUUUAAAAAUUAAAUUACUAAUAUAAUCCUAAUAAUAUAUAACAAUUAAAAAUUUAUAUAAUCUAUAGAUUUUUAUUUUUUAUUUACAAAAGAGGUGAUAAUAUGAAAAUAAAACAAAAUUAUAAAUAUUAAAAUUUAAAAUUUAAAAUUAUUAAAUAUCACAUUUAAAAAAUAAUUAAAUAAAUCAAUUAAAUUAAAUUUUGUAUUCAAAGAUAAAUUUAAACCUUGUCAUUGCCGACUCCACAAGGUGCAGCUGCUCCUUUUUAAAGCAUAUUAUCUAUCAUUAAUCAACUUUUCUUACGCGAAGCUGGAUCGAAUCUAUCGCUAGAUCCCAAUUCUGCGGCAGUACGUGGAAACCUGAUUGAAAAUGGCCUUUUGCCCGCUAAACACUCUCGAAAGACAUUGUGAAAAGGCCGUCACACUUUGUGAGGUUUGUUUGUUUGUUUGUUUUAACAUGUCCCAAUUUCAUGACAAUUUUGGGUCCCUUUCCUGCAUUGCCAAAAUGGUCGGUCUUUUUUGUCAUUGUUAAUACGUCUUUUUACCUGACUGAAUGGACCUUUCAUGAGAUGAAACUAUGUUUAAUUCGUCUCGUCAUUUGGGAUUAAUACAAAAAUUAUCUUCGAAGCAUGAAAAUAUAAGACAGAGUAGCUGUUGGAGCAAAGGUUAAUAGUCGAGCAAUUGAAUAAGGUGGAAGAUUCUGUUUGCUCCAGUGGCAUUCCCAUGGUCCACUACUCACUACGGAUCGGUCCCCUUCUAAGAUGACAUUCGUAAAACUCAUUAUCAAAUAUCAAUAGCUGACUCAGCUUGGUCCCCCCUGUUUCCCAAGUUUUUCUAAACUCAUAAUGAAAUUAUUUGAACUUUUUUCUCAGAUAACUCUUCGUAACUAAUUGUAAUUGGGACUAUUUUUUUAACUAUGACAGAUUUUCAUUAUUUUUAUCGAAAAGUGAUUAUUACAUUUUUAAUUAAACUUAAAAUUAAUAUUUGUUUAAAUUUCUUUUUACUUGUCAAUGAUGUUUUGGUUUAAUGACAAAGGGACAGUAUUUCUAGGUUUAAUCCAAUUUUAUAUAAAAGUUAUCUAAUUUUAUAUUAGUUCUAUAGUUUAUUUGAUUUUAAUUCAAUGAAUUUUUAUAUAAAUAUAAUAUUUGAUUAUAAUUAUAUUAUAAUUUUAUAAAAAAAUUAAAUUUCUAUUAAAUUAAAUUUUAUUUAUUUUCAUAUUUACUUUAAAAUCAUUAAAAAUUUAAUCAUAAAUUAAUUUCAAUGCGAAUUAAUCACCUUUGAAUGAAUAGUAAAAAUUUCACUAAUUUGAAGUAGUAUUCAAGAACAUUUCAAAUUUGAAAAGGCAGCUUUGGAUUGAAAUUGAAAUGCUAAGAAUGAUUGUUCAAGGGUCAAAAACAUGUAAGACCGGCAGGUUAGGAUACCAACCAAAUUCGAAACCAAAAACAUUUUGAAAAAAAAUCAUGAUUCAUGAAUUAGGAUGACCUUUUAUUUUUUAUUUUUUUGUUAAAAUAUAAAAAAACAGUGGGCCACAUGGGAGGCAAAUACGCAAACCAUGUCAUGUGUUCAAGCAAGAAAGCUGCAAGCAGCACCAUGUGGGUAUAUGCUUAUCGGCAUUGCCCGCUCCAGUUGCUAAUCCUCCUAAUGACGAUACAUAAGCAAUUUCAAACCAAACAGCUUAUUUUAUUUCCAACGUAAAUUCACAGGUUAAGAUUCUAACGUAAAUUCACAGGUCCACAUGGGGAAUUCCUUAAAAUCCAAACGAACAAACCAAGAACAAAUACUUGGACUGUCAUUUAAAAAAAAAAAAAUCAUGCCCGGGUUUCUUUAUUAUUGUCGCUUGGUGUUUCCUUUGGUCCUCGGUUGACAAUUCUUGUACUAUUAAUCGUAUCAUUUGUGAGUAUCUGUUAAUCUUUUAUUGUAUUAUUAUUACUAUUAUUAUUAUUAUUAUUCGGAUUUGGACUCUUUUCUAUUCCCCUUCAAAAAUUUUGCUGAUGCCAAUGUGGCAAUGUAGGAAUGGACAGCAAUAUCUGAUAGGCCCAAAUCUUACCCUAUAUUUUUAUUCAAAUAUUUUUGGCUAAUAUAUAGAGUAGGUUUUUUUUUUGGGUAUAAACUAUUUAAUCAAGAAAUUUCCGUGUGAUAAGAAAGUAGAAAAAUUAAGAAAGAAAACAAAAGGAAGAACGUUACCACAAAGCAGACAAAAUCCAUUGGUUUUUUAGACAGAAAGAUUGAAGAGGAUAUCUUCAAAAAUGGAAAAUAGGCGUGGUAAUAGCAAAAAAGAGCAAGCCUGAAAAUCGGAAAAAGCAAAAACAAAAGGAUACGGCAAACGACACUUUAAAAAAAAAACUAAAACGACAUUGGAAGGAGAAGAUUCGGAUCAUAACGCAGCAUCUUCUUUCUUUUUCCGUGUGUAAACCAAAACGAUAAUUAAAAAAGAAAAAAACAAAGGCGAUUGGGGCACGUGCCAGCUCACACGUGGGGUCCAAAUUUAACCCAUCUAACGGUCUCUCCCUCUUCAGUCUUCUUUUUCCAAUCUGUCUGUUUAUUUUGUAAUUUUUCUUCCUAUUUUUUUUCCCUUAAAAACGGGAAGGGAAGAGCGGCUGUGCGUGGUCAGUCACCUUUCCUUCUUUCUUUCUCAGCCCAAACCCAAAUGUUAUAAAGCUCACGCGGUCUCUUACUCUUACCUUCUUCUUCUUUCUCUGUUUCUCUCUCUUUUCCUUUCUCUCAGAGACCCAACUCACCCCUUCCAUUCAAACACGGAGAGAGAGAGAGAGGGAAGAGAGAGGCACAAAAAAUUCCAUUGAUAAAUUCUAGUCUUCUUUUCUUUUUGUUUGUGUGUUUGUUUGAUUGAUUGAUUUUCUAUUUGGCUAGUUUGACAGCCGUUUCCGUGACGAGGAUUGAGAGAGGGAAAAGGAAAAGAAAAAGAAAAUAAAUACAAUAGAAUGUCGGCAUUGGACCCUGUCGAUUGGCUUCUCUUCUCUCUCAGCAGAUCAUUUUGUAAUCCUCUUGCUGUUUUUAUUCAGAUCCAGGUUUGUUCUUUUCUCUUUCAGAUCCAUUUUCUUUCUUUUCUUCCGCUCAAAGUUCUUAAUUAUCCGCAAACAGCGCCAAAUAAUAUAUAUAUUUUGCGGAUUUUCGUUGUUUGGAUAGAAUUUUAACGUGUGGAAGUAAGCUGAAUUGCUUUCUUGAAUUCGUUUUCAAAUUUUCUAAACCUUUUUAUGUGUCUUUUCUUAGAAAUUAAAUGCAUAUUUGGUUAGUUCUUAGCUUCCUAUCUUAUUUAUAAUUACCUUAAUUUUUUAAAAUUCUCCUUAAUAUGUAGCCUAAAGGAUCUAUUCUUUAAAGAAGUUAUAAUUUCCUUUUUCCGUUGACGGUGCUGGUUUUUCGUUACCAUUGGAUCUAGAUAGCUAUGUUUAGAGCAAAAAUUAUAUGUUUUAUUUUUUAAAAUUACAAAAAAAAAAAAAAAGAAUUCUUUUUGUGACAUAAUGGAGAUGAGAUGUUUGAUAUUUGGUCGCAAAGAUGGCUGUUAUUACGAUAGUCUGCAGUGUAUCUUCCAAGUUUGUAGAUGUAAAUUCAUUAAUUUUGCUUCAAUUCCAUUGUAAGGAAUAUCGAGGUGAUAAGGUUUUAUUAAGCUCUGAGUUGAGCUUUGUUUGUUAUAGUAUUGAAAUCAAAUGGAGUAGAAAGCUCCUUUUAUAAAUACCAUUUUUCCAUAAUGGGAGCUUUGUUUUGGUUUACUGAUUUGUUCAAGUUGUUGGUGGGAAGGCUGGUAUGUCAGUUAAUGUAACAAAGGUUGUCUCAUUGAAAAGCAGACGAAGUUAGCAUCCGACCAAUGGUUUAUCCAAAAGAAAAGCUAUUGAAGCGUCCUUACUUUUAUACAUUAAUUACCAAUUAAAAUUUUUGAAGGAACUAAAAUGCUUGAUUGAUAUGCUAUGAAGUACAGACAUGGCCACAUGGCAAUUUCUAAAAAAUGAGGACACGGAUAUGGUAGGACUCGGCAAUAAGAAAUUAUGUUUUAUAUACAAUUAUCACUUAAAAAUAUAUGGUAGAUAUUGGGCUGAUUUCUUUCGUGUAUCCUGCAAAUUUCAACACGUAUUUCAGUGCAUCGCAAGUGUCAAAGUGUUGGACACAGAUACGACAUGAGUAUGUGAGGGGUUCAGAAGUGUCUGUGCUUCAUAGCCAAUACGUGUUAUCUGUUCUGCUUGCUGAUAUUCUUCUGCUUUUGACUAAUGGGCCUCCUUCUUUUAUUACUUUGCAAUCAGUCCAAUUUUCUACUUUAUUAAUGCAGUGUUUUCACUUUGAUUAUCUUAAAUCAGUUAUCUUUUCUCUCUCUCUCUCUCUCUCUCUGCCUGUUUGAACUUAAAAAAGGUUACCAAUCUGAAUAUUUGUAUAUAAUGUAGGGAUGUGUAAUCUGCUUGACUCUUGCUAUUGGGUGGGCUUUUGCUGCUUAUGUCAGGUACAUGGUUUUAACGAUGAGAAUUUAAACAGCAGGAUGCCGUGACUGUUCCAAGUUGUCAACAUUACCUAGAAAACUUGCCUAUGUUUAUAUAUACCUACACUUUUUACCCUUCACAGGAACAGAGAGAUCAAUCGAAUGAAAGAUGGCAUGAAAGGCGGCAAUAGCUUUGCUUUUCUGUGCCAUGAUAUUAAUGAACUUGAGCACUCUAAUCAGGUCAAUCUACCAAGAGUUUCAGUCGUGAUGCCUUUAAAAGGUUUUGGAGAGCAUAAUCUACACAACUGGAGGAGUCAGGUGAGUAUUUAAUGGUAGGCAUUCUAGCUAGCACUUACCUUGAGUUGUCUUCUCAGGCAUGCUAAGCAUGCAUUUAACUUUUCCGUAGCCACAUUUUGUUCAUUGGAAAAUGGAAAAUUUAACUAAAUUUCCUUUAAUAAGUGUUAGGCAUAUUCCCCCUGCCCUGUUUUUUAAAUUUUGCUCUACCAGAAUUGAUUAUUUUAAAAUAUUCAUGUUUGCAAUAAGUAAUUUUCUGAAGUAUUUAUUUCAUACUUAUGGAGACAGAUUACAUCUCUCUAUGGUGGUCCUUUGGAGUUCCUUUUUGUGGUGGAAAGUACUGAAGACCCUGCUUACCAUGCUGUAUCUCGGUUAAUAACAGAUUUUAAGGUAUACCACAAAUUUGCUUUAUUCUGUAUUUUCUGAUAAUAUUAAGAAAAAGAAUCUGACAAAAGUCAAAUAUGAUUGUUAAUUACUGUGUAAUCCUUUAUUCUCAAACUUCCAAAAUACUCAAUGCUUGUACUUUGUUUUAUAUAAGUGUUUGAGGACUUCAUUUGAGCUUAUUCAUUGUGCCUUCACUUCUUGCCUUCCUGACUUCGUUGCAUGUUUCUCUGUGCAGGAUGAUGUUGAUGCUAAAAUCAUUGUAGCUGGUUUAUCAACAACCUGUAGUCAGAAAAUACAUAACCAGCUGGUAUAUAACAACUUUACCAAUUGUUAAGCUGAUUCUGUAAAUAACCGGCCUUGAAUAUCUGUUAUUUUUCUGUUAAUAUUAUUGUUUAGACUACAUGUCUUGCCACUCUCACUUGUACUUAAUGAAGACUUACUAAGUCUUAGCUGAAGAUGUCCUCUUUCGCUAAUCCACAAUUAUUUAAAGUUAGUCCUUGUAUGUUGUUAAAAUCUCUCUGCUAGAAGUGUAUUCAAUAUAGUGCUUAACCAUAUAUUUUUUUGGUAUUUUUUGUGAAGGUUGGGGUGGAGCAAAUGCAUAAAGAUGCCAAGUAUGUAUUAUUUUUGGAUGAUGAUGUUAGGCUUCACCCAGGAUCGAUUGGGGCCCUCACUACUGAGAUGGAAAAGAAUCCUGAGGUGUGUUUCUGUACAUCCAUAUACCUUCAAUCUAAAUAAUUAGAUUUUUCUGAACCUUUACAUGUAUCUGUUAUGCUUAUGGUGCAUAGAGUGUAAACUAGUGAUACUUUUUGUGGUACUCAUGUUAUUGGAAGUAAUGUGCAGAUAUUUAUUCAAACUGGAUACCCUCUUGAUUUACCAUCUGGAAGUUUAGGGAGUUACUGCAUCUACGAAUACCAUAUGGUAUGGUGCCAUCUAUGACUUAUUCUUUCUUCCUGAGAUAUUGCAUUUACCUGACCAUAUCUUUUUUUAUAUGGAUAACUACCAUUGUUUUUAUCCGCGAGAGCAGGGGAAAACCUGCUAUCAAAACAACAGUACAACCAGAAUCAAAGAAAUUAGUGGCUACACCCUAUGUUAAUGGUUGAAUUAUUACGUAAAAUCUGAUUAAUGCUGGAUUCAGGCACUCUAAUAACUCAUUCGUAUAUGGCUUACUGUUUUAUUCAUGUUCUACUGCCCAAUCUACGUUCAACCUUCAAUUACUUCACAAGCAUUAUGCUAGCUGAACAACCCUGCGCCCCUCCCAAAAGAUUUAACACAAAUGCACAUCAACAGGCAAACAGUUCUUAUUGAAAUAUCACAGCAGCAGCAAGUUGGGAAAUAUCAGCUCUAAUGUGUUAACCUAUUCCAUAGCCCAAAGUUCAAACAAGAAUCCAUAGCCCAAAGUUCAAACAAGAAUAGAGCCCUAUAGGUAUAGAUGGUCAGUUUGGUGUAUAGGGGGAUUGCCUCAUCUCUCUCUAUUAUUUGAAUUUGGCCAAGAGGUGAAGCUGACCCCCCCCCCCCCAACCCACACUGUAGUUCACAAGUGGAAAAACUUUUGUUUUUUUGUGUAACUGUGCUCUACCCGUUGAUAUUGCAUGUGCUAUUUUAAUCUUUCUCCAAUAAGUUGGUUAUUGCAUCCUUUAAUUCAUGUACUCAUUGAAUAUUUCUUUUUUCUACAGCCUUGCUCAAUGGGAUUUGCUACUGGUGGGAAAACAUUUUUUCUUUGGGGAGGGUGUAUGAUGGCAAGUAGUUCCUUCUAUUCUUCUCAGUGCUUCCUGUGCAAAAUUAAAGGAUUAUUUCUGAUUCUUCUAGAUUGUUUUUCAGAUGCAUGCUGAUGAUUUUAGACAUGACCGCUAUGGUGUGGUCUCGGGACUUCAAGAUGGUGGAUACUCCGAUGAUAUGACUCUAGCUGCUAUAGCUGGUAAUCUAGUCUCUAUUAUAUCUUUUAGUAGAGUAAUAAGAAAUUCAAUAUUUCUAUUGAUGUUAGAAUUACUGCUUUGUAGACUCAUACACUUGCAAUGUUUUAACUGCUCAUUUAUUGUCUCUUCAUAGGAGCCCACAAGAGUCUUAUUACAUCUCCUCCCACAGCUGUUUUUCCUCAUCCUCUUGCAAGUGAUCUUAGUUUCUCAAGGUUUGUGAUUUUUACCCAUUAAGCUUUUCUAUUAUAGUUAUAUCUAUGGUGAUUUUGACUUCUUGUCCAGGUACUGGAAUUACUUGAGGAAGCAAACAUUUGUUUUAGAAUCAUACAUAAGCAAGGUUAAUUGGCUAAUGAAUAAAGCACUGUUUUCAUCCCAUUGCUAUCUUUCAUGGGGAUUUGUUGCGCCAUACUUGAUGGCUAUGGUUCAUGUUGCAGCAGCACUACAAAUCUAUAUGAAGGGUUAUUCAUAUGAGGAAACAACCUGUACAACGGGUGGUGAGCACACUAUUUUUCCUUUUUAGUUAGGCUGUAGCAUUAUUAAUUCAGAUGAAACCAAUGUCUCAGGUCCUGAUCUGGAUAGUUAUACAAGUCCAGUGGUUAUUUUUGAGUAACAAGAGUUUGUUUUUUGUCUUUGGCUGAGACAGUACUGAGUUAUACUGAUAAUUUACAAGUUCCACUUGGCCCUCAACAUGUUGGAUUUUUAGUAAUUUAAACACACUUGUAUAUCAGGGUUGCAUAACUGUUUGCACUUUGGCAACUAGAAAUGCUGGUAGUAGCCCUUGUCACGUAAUAGAAAUUUCUUUUUCAGUUGUAUUUUUAGGUUGCAGUUAGUCUGGUAAAGUACUCAGUCUAACAAAAUGGAAGCUAGAAAAGUAUACUAUGGUAUUAAAACUGGAAUUAGCUCCUGCAACUAAGCAAACUGUGUUUGCACAGGAUUGUUACUAGCGAGUUGCCUAGCUAUAUGUACCUUUAUGGAGCUACUUUCUAUGUGGAACUUAACAAGGAUUGAAGUUCAACUAUGCAACAUGUUAUCUCCUGAGGCACCUAAGCUCUCACUUGAUUAUUACAACUGGAGCAUGGUAAGUACCUCUCUCUCUUUAGUCUGAGUGAUGACAACGAGCUUUGUUAAAGUUGUGUCAUUCUGUUGUUCCCAUGAAACUUGAGUGCUUAACUUGAGCAUUGAGACUUCCAUUUUUCAUUGUAUAUCACUUAUAAAUUAUACAUAAAUGUUUGGAGUGAUGAAGAAAAAUUCUGGUUUUUUUAUCCGUUUGAAUGCGUUGUCUAGAAUUCUAGAAUGCCUUCAGACUAAAGUAAAUUAGUAAAAUAUAAUCAAGCUUUCAGUUAGAAAAAAAAAAGUUUAUAUUUAAAUCGGCUUGAUGUUUUUGGUUGGAUUUAAAGGGCCUGAAUUUUGACUUGAAGCCUGGUCAUUAUUUGAGCUAGAGCUUGGAUAUCACAGACACUUAUGAGUAUUUACUAAUGUAAAUAAGUUGUUUUGUGAUUGGGCAGAUCUUUGUUGCAAUGCUGGUUGAUAACUUUUUGUACCCUAUAUCUGCUAUCCGAUCUCAUUUCUCUCAAUCUAUCAAUUGGUCUGGUAUUCGUUAUCACUUGAAGAAUGGAAAGAUAAGCAAGGUACGUCAGUUGAGCAUAGCACUUAAGCAAUAAUGAUCAGCUUUAUUUAUUUGUUCAAAGCUUAGGAGUAUUUGCCUACGCUGCAGAUUGAAAGGAACAAGGAUAUGGGUCCAAAGUUCACAGACCUGGGAGGGAAGCAUUUAUAUGGGAAAAAAGGAACUUCUCCCAAGGCCUCAUUCCUCAGCUCUUUGGCGAGAAGUUUGGCUCAGAGGCGUCAACCCAAGAAAUACGAUGUCUAGACUCUAGAGAUAAGCUUUGGCGCAGAGAAAGUUGUGACCAUUUUGCGUCUCCUUUUCAAGACCCGAUAGACAGCAAGUAUUCUGAAGCAAAGAUCCGGUCGUUGAUUGUUGGUGCAUUAUUUGGUGAUUCCUUAUUUGAUUGAUUUUAGUGGUUUAGGAAUUUUUGCCUCAUUUUUUAGUCGCCAAUUCAAUCAAUUUAUUCUUAAUUUAUCAACCCUAGUCGGGGCUGGUUUUGUAAUAUGAAUUGAAUUCUCCCUGUAAUUUUAUAAAUCCUUGCAUACAGUUAUUGUUCAAAUGUGAGACAGUAGUGUUUGUGAUUCACAGUUCUCUACAAUCAGACUCUGUGGAGUGGCCGUUCUGUUUGUAACUGUACAAUUUCCAUUGUUCUUGUUUUUUUUUUUUUUCCUGUUACCAAAAUUCAAGCAUAUUAAAACUCUUUGCCAUGGCAACCACAGAUGACAAAUGCAUGUGGCAGAUAAACUUCUGAAUCAGAAGAUGAUCAGAGCAUUAGAUAAAUCACAGAUUAAUCAGCGGAUGAAGAAAAAAAAAAGUUAAGCACCAGAAUAACUGCCAAGUAUUUCUCCUUAAAAAAAAAACCAAGUGUGCACAGCACAUGACAAUGUUAAGACUUGUAAAGCCACCAGAAGAAUAUUCUUAGAAGGUUCCCAUUUUGCUCUCAAUUUUACAACCCAAUGGUGGCAGUUGCUUGUAAUUUACUUCUGAAGAACUCCAAUGUAGAAGUCAUCAAUCAUGUCAAAUACUCGGGUAGCAUGCUGCGGCCUGACAUAGGCAAUAAAAAGAUGGAAAUACCAAAUAAGUUUGGAUGUAUAGAAGAGAACUUCAAUCAUGUUAAUAGAGAGUAAACUGAAUAAGAAUAUACUAUUUACAACAUGGUUUGGAAGAUGAAAAAUGCAAGGAUUUUAUCCUCAUUUGCCUGUUUUAUGCAUAAAAACCUAGCUAGACAUACAUAAGAGCCAAGCCCAAGUAAAAGACGAGUCAAGCUAACUAACUCCAGAGGGAUAGAAGAGAAAGAGGCAACAUGAAAUUUUCAAAAUUUCCUGAGUUCUUCCAAAUGAAAGGAACAAAUGCAUACCCAUAAAACCCUUCAGUUGAAUCAUCUCCGGCAUGCGCCAAGAUGGCAUCACCACCUGGAUGUUCCUCUACAUAUGAGGAAACAUCAUAAACCUGCAGUUGUUAAAUAUAGAAAGAAAUGAACAACAGAAGCGAGAUAUCUUAGUAUCUCAAGGUGUUGUAAGUUCCAAAAACAGCAUCAAGCCAAAGUCAUCAAUUACCUUGUCUUUAAUGAUGAUCCAACAAUCAGUCCUCUUAUCAUGUAAUGCGAUUUCUGCCUUACUGUAGGAUUUGGAUGCCUACAAAAGAGUUUGGAGUGAAUUUGCAAACCUCCACUUUAAUAAUGCAACUAAAGCAUAUAUGAAACACUGUAAUGUAUAACUGAUAAACUGAUAUGUUAGAUCAUGCAGUGACCCCCAAUAAUUUCAAAUCCAUAGAUUUGCUUGGUCAUAAACGUACAAACUCUGAAAAUUGAACUCUAAAAAACAGCAAAAAUGCGAUCAAUUUAUUUCGAAGUUACCAAGAUUCAUAAAUGUACCUUAGAAUUGUUAGCAUUUGAUUGAAUCUUGUUUGUAUGAGCUGCAAUGAAACAGAAUAUCACCAAUCAAAAUAAUCUGCAGAACUAUUUUUAUUUCAUUUAUUUCUAUCUGCUACUACACUAAAACAAUGUAAACAAAGAGAAAAACACACAAAUUAAAGACUACCUGAUUUACCACGCCGGGGUAUCAAAAUAAAAGCUCCAAGUAAGACACCCAAAAUCAAUGCUAUCACGGCUAUUGCCAUCUCUCAGAGUUCAGCUUCUUUUUACUGAUGAACCCAGAUUUAUCCCAGCAGCAAUUUUAAACAAAAAUACAAAAAUGAGAAAACUCAAAUUUGAACUAACUUCAACAGGUUCAAGCAAACAGUUCAUUACGAAGUGGAUGCUUGAAUGUAUGUGCUAAGAGAAAAAGAGGGUUUUUGGUAGCUGAGAAAAUGAGAGAAAUGGAAGGGUUUUUCCAAAGCUAGAAAUGAAUAAAACUCUCAACUGCGAAUGGAAAAGAAGACUCAAAAGAGAGUAAAAGCUAAAGCUUUUUUACCUGGAAAAGGGAUUGGAAUGUGGGUAGUCCGGAGAAUGUGACCAGUGGAGUUGAGCGGAUUUGCCGAUGAGAUCCUAGCGUAGAAUCUUUUUGCUUUGCUGCCCCGUGACUUGAUAUUUUUCACGUUUAUCGCUUUCCGGCCGGGUCAAGUCCGCCUCUGGAAACGGAUCGGGUUAACGGUUGAUUAUAAAGCCAAUAUAAUCCCAUAAUUAAAAGGGUAAACUAUUUGUUUAAGGGAAAUACUUAAAUUAAAUUUUUAGGUAAAAUUUAUAAAAUAUUUUUAAAAAAUAAUUUAAUAAAAUUUUUAAUAAAAAAUUUAAAUUUAUAGAUUAAAAUAGUUUAACGUGAAAAUUAAUAAUAUAUAAAAAAUUAUUUAAAAUAUUAAAUAUAUAUAAUAUAUUAAAAAAAUUUAAAUUUUUUAAAAUUUUAUUCAUUUGAUUUAUGCAAUAAAAUUUUUUAAUUUAUCAUAUUUCAUUUUUUUUUAUUUAAUCAUUUUUAAUAUGAAAUUUCAUAAAUUUUAUUUAAAAAAUUUCAUUUAAAUCUUUUCCCUAUGUUUAGUGAUUAAAAUUUUCUAAAUCUUUUAUUUUAGCCAUUUAUUUAUGAAAAACCAUAAUUUAAUCAUUUAUAUUAUAAAAUUUUAUUUUUUUUCACCAUUCAACUAUUAGAAGCAAAUUGUUUAGUUGAAGUGACAUCAUCUCCUCAUUGUCAUAUAGUUAAUAUUAUAAUUUUUUAAAAGACAAAAUUUAUAUAUUAAAAAAAGAUAAAUUAUAUGUUGAGAUCAUUUUGGCCAAAUUAUGUUUAGCUCACUUACUUUUUAAAAAAAAAUUAUUCUGAUUCCUUAACUUUUAAAAAAUUAUAAUUUGAUCAUUAACCUUUAUAAAAUUUAGAAUAAUAAAUUAUUUUAUUAUUAAUAUUAAAAUAUCUUUAUAUAAUACUCAAAAAAAUCUGAAACUUUAUAAACAAAAUUAAGUAAAAUAUUAAUAUUUUAAUACAUGAUAUUAAAAUUAUAAUAUCAAAUCGUAAUUUUUUAUAAUUGAAUGAUCAAAAUUUAAAAAAAUCACAAAAAUUUUAAUGACUAAACAUGCAAUUUACCUAAUUAAAAACCUACGAAAAUAGGAUUUUCGUGCAUUAACUUUUAGCUUACGAAUGAUUGUUGGAAAUUAAAAAUAAAAAAGUUAUCCAAUGAUUAAUUUCAAUAACUGUAAGUUAAAUAUUGAUAAUAUCAAAUACGAAAAAAAAACUUAAAUAUAUAUAUAAUUAUGUAGCAUAAUUGAUAAGCCAAUGAUAGAGUUCCCACGUGGUUCAAAAAAUGCAAAGUAUAAAUUGCCUUUCACGCAUUAGCAAAGAAUAGUUUAAUUGGUAAACAAAAAUUUUCGAAUUUCAAAUCUCCUUUUCCUAAAAUUAUUAACUAGUUGAUAAAUCAUAUGUCCAGCUCUGAUUUGGCAUCCACCGAAAGCAACAGUCGAAGCGAGCCUAUCUAUCCAUUAGGAAUUAGAAUAAAGUUACCAAAAAGGAAUCCAUCAUAGCAAAGUUUCCUCUGUUGCCCAAUUACCCUUUUCAUCUUUCUUUGUUCUUUUCCCUUUACUUUAUAUCCGAACUUGUUCCCUUGAACAAAAAGAUAGCAAACUUAGCUGCAAGAAUAACAGAAAAAUGGGUUGUUUCAGGCCUAAGAGUUCCAAAACUUCGGCUCCCAUGCAGCCUUCCUCAACUGAACCUGUUCUUGCAUACCCGGAAAACAGGAAUCUCAAACUGGAGGUUCUUUUGCAGAUUCCAGGAUGCACAGUUCAUCUGAUGGAUGAAGGAGAAGCCUUGGAACUUGCCAGGGGUGAGUUCACACUUGUCCGGAUAUUGGAUGCUGAUGUUCCUCUUGCUACCAUUGUUAAGGUUGGUGAGGAACUUCAAUGGCCUUUGACAAAAGAUGAGCCAGUUGUUAAGCUUGAUUCAUUUCACUACCUAUUUUCCUUGCCGAUGAAAGAUGGGAAUCCUCUGAGUUAUGGAGUGACCUUUUCGGGGCAGUAUGGUAGCAACUUGGGCUCGUUGGAUUCGUUUUUAAAGGAGCACUCAUGCUUUUCUGGUGCAGCUUCAACUGGGGAUAAACAUGUUAAUUGGAAGGAGUAUGCCCCCAGGAUUGAAGAUUACAACAAUGUUUUGGCAAAGGCCAUUGCUGGAGGGACCGGCCAGAUUGUUAAAGGAAUCUUCAAAUGCAGCAAUGCUUAUACUAGCCAGGUUUGCUUUUGAACGUCAACAUUAAUCUAGCCCACACAUGUCAUGUCAUGUCAUGUCAUCCUCGUUCAAGAUAGCUACAGUCGGAGCAUUUAAUCAUCUAAUGAAAGUUAUCUGAAAAUGGAAAAGAAAGUACUAAGUUUAGGCAUGAGUAAUACACCUACAAUUAUUCAAUAAACUUGCAUUUUUACGCCAAGCUAACCAUAAGAAAACAUUCAUUGCAAAAGGUAAAAAAGCCUGGUAUAUAAGUUUUUAUAUGCUCAAAAGGAAAAAGAUUUGCCACGCUUUGAAUUGCCUUGGUUAGUCAAUCUAAAGAAAAGAAGGGAAAAAGCAGGUGCAGAAAGGAGGAGAAAUCAUUUUAACGCCAGCAAGUAAUGGCUACAAAAGCAGCGGGGCCCCAAGGAAGAGUAGUGGAGCUAACAAAAGCCUAAAACGGUAUCCCAAGACAAGAAAAUUUCUUUUCAGUUAUUAUAUGAGCAUGACAUAAAUUUUUAUGAAGUCAAAAGUUGUUGCCUCUGAGGUACUGUCUAUUGUGUGCAGUGUGAGAAAGCUGUCGAAAAUGACUGAAAAGCUAAGCAAAUCAAUGCUUGACGUGGUUGGUGUGGCUAGCGGAACAGUGAUGGCCCCCUUGGUUAACUCCAAACCUGGGAAAGCUUUCCUAUCCAUGGUUCCAGGAGAAGUUCUUGUAGCUUCCCUUGACGCUGUCAGUGAGUAAUAAAAAGCCAAAUAUUGCAGUGGUUCAUUUCUCUAAAAUUGAGAAUAUAGUAUAUAGCAUUGUUACAAAAUAGUAUGACUUCUGAUCAUCUCACUUAGUGGAAAAGUGUAUAUAUGGUGACUGCAUUGUCCAUUUCGUGUAUUGCAGACAAGGUUCUGGAUGCAGCUGAAGUUGCUGAAAAGCAAGCUUUUUCUGCAACAUCCACUGCAGCAACCAGAAUGAUGACUGAUAGGUAAUAUGACCCAAGAAGCCAUUGAACAUGCAGCACUUGACAUUUACAUUCUCUCCAAAAUUGAAAUACAGAAUUUUCUUUUCCCAUUUAUUGGAUAAUAUCUUUGUAUCUUUAUAUACAUAUAUAUAUAUAUAUUUCUCAAUCUUGAUUCCUGUUUAUGGUUUUGAGAACUAGGUUCGGUGAAAGAGCAGGGGAGGCCACUGAAGAUGUGCUAGCAACUGCAGGGCAUUGUGCUAGUGCUGCUUGGAAUAUCUUCAAGAUAAGGAAGGCAAUCACUCCUUCAUCCACAGCCAGUGCUGGACUAUUGAACAAUGCAGCCAAGUACAAAAGCAGGAAAUCUUAUAAUUAAGGCUCCUCUAUUCGAGAGAUUUUAUGAUCUGCAAACGAAAAAAAAUAUUUAGAAGGCUAUAAUCUAUUUUGUAUUGAAACUGAACCAAAUCCUUUAAGUGUUCUAAAGCAUGUCAUGAAUCUGUGUGUAUUUUCCAAUAAAUCUUUUUUUUUUCUCAAAAACUGAAGCACUUUUUUGAUAGUUACAUAUACCAGGCAAGAGAAAAGAGUUAUUAUCUGCAGAGAAUAGCAGGUGUGAGGUGUGCGUUAUUUCCAUUGCCAUUGAAAUGGUGGUAUAACCAAUUUAGUUAAUUUCACUUGUUUGAAAAAAAAAUCAAAUUUAAUUCUAAUGAUGCAAAUAUCAUAAACAAUUUGACCAAAUCUUCUCCAUUGUUUUUCAUAUUUACUCUUGAACCACAACAGUAGCCUGUAAAUCCUAAGAGUAAAAGUGAAUCAAUCAUAUAAAAUUUGUAAUUUGUUUACUUUUGUUUAAAUUAUUUAUUGAUAUAAAUGAAAAUACUAUUAGUAAAACACAAGAUUUCCAUCUAAAUCCUCUAUCACUCUAAUUUAAUCAUGUGGCAAUUUUUUGUUAUUAUAUUAAUUACUAUUAAAUUAAAUACUACUUUCAUAAGUAGAAAAAUGACUUAAAUAUGAAAAUUUUGAAUUAAAAUUAAAUAAUCAUCUAAAUUAUUUAUUAUUUUAUUAUAAUUAAACUCUGAAAUAAUUAUUUUCAUUAAGUUGAAUCUUUGAUUGGAUGAAAAUUAAUGAUGAGAAUUAACAAAAUUUUGUCCAACAAGAGUUUUAUAAAGUAAAAAUAAAUAUUUGAUAGCUCAAUUGAUUUAUAAUAAAAUAAUAAAUAUUUGAAUAAUUUUUUUAUUAAAAAUUUGAUUGAUUAUUCAAUUUUAGUUAAAAAAAUUUUUUUAUAUACUUAAGCCUAAAAAAAUAACAAAUUUAUCAUCAGUUUUGGCAACUGCCCUUAAUCGGCCCAAAGAGGUUCAAAACUGUUGCGUUUUGGCUGCCCACCGCACUACUGUAACGAUCCAAAGCCAAACGGCAGUCGUUUCAUCAUAUCAGUUUUCCGUUAUGGGUUACCAUCACCUACCAUUUCAUCAGAAGAUCGGUCCAAAGUACAUGUAACAACGAAAUUGUGUUCUGUCUGAAAACCCCAAACCCUAAUUGCCCCAAAAAAAAAAAACCCCAAAAGAAAGAAACCAAAGCACACAAAGCCCUACAAUGGAAAACGAAACAAAGCUAAGCAUAUACAGAGCAGCAAGGACAAUAAAACGCAAAGACAACACUCUCUACAACGCACUUAGAUCCAUUUACGAGGACUCAAUCUUUGUCGGCGAAAUCUCCCAGCUGUGGCCUCAACUUCCUCUCGUCGCCAACCUCCGUUGCGGUCUCUGGUAUUCUUCCAAAUUUCAGUCCACUUGUUACUUCAAAUCCACCGACGGUCAUAACAAUAAUUGGUCUUUCAAUACGUCGCGUCUCAACUUCCACAUCGCCCUUCUCGCUGGUAAAAUUCUCAUUUUUUUCCUCUUUUUAAAUGUAAUUUGAAAUGAUUUUUUUUUUUGGGUUUUUUGUUUUUUAAUGGUAGGACAGAAGGGAGGGUGUAUUAUAAUUGAUUCGACGCGGAGGGGGAAGCGGUUUCCUGAUAGUAUGUCGAAAACUAUACCCAUUUGGACGUGUGUUUUGAACCGCUCCAUUUGUAAUUAUUUGAACAAGUUGUGUAAUGACGACGCCUCAUUGGUGGAGCGGGUGAGUACCGGCAAUGUUCUCUGUUUAAAGUUUCUUAAUUUUGUCCAACUUUUCAUCAUUUUCUAUCCUUGGGUUUCAUGUAAAAUCAAGUGUUUGAGUUUUCAUAAUUACCCAAAUCAAUUGCGAGCAAUUUUUUCUCUCCCCCCCCCCCCCCGCCCCCCUAAAGAGCAUCAUUCAUGAUAUGACAAGCACUUGACUAAGUGUUAGGGCUGAGACUGCAUUUAUGCUUUUUUGUUUUGGGUAUAUGUUACAGAGGAAGCUACCUCAUUGGUUGAAAUUGACUGCAUUCUGGUAGAAGUACUUUCUUGUUCCUGUUUUCUGACUUGCUUCUCUGCAGGAGUCAGAUGCAGGGCACAAUUCUGUUGAUUGGGAUUGUUCCUUGCACCUUCCCCUUUGGGUUUCCGAAACAGAGAAGUCAGCUAUUGAGGACCGGUUAGAAGGAUGGACCAAAGACCUGGAUGCAAGUGGAGCUGAUAUUGCGACUCUUGCAUCGUGCUUAAAAAAGCCCUUGCGUCCUCUAUGGAUUUCUCACAAAACUGUCAUCUGGAUAAACGAAGUGCCGGAUUAUGAUUCUUGGGAUUUCACACCAAUAAUUCUUGUUUCUGCCUCUUCCUCGAGUGGAGUAACUCAACAUAGGACUACCUCAGAGUUUAGCUGGAAUUAUAUACCAGGAGCUGGAGAUGAUGAAGAAAGCUGGGCUAGGGGCUUGUCUCCUAAUCUCUUUUGGAAUCAUGCCUAUGAUCUUAUUAGCUCAGGACCUGAUUUGUGUAACCAGAAGGUUGCUGAUAUAGUUGAGAAGGACAGAGUGUAUCGUGCUCAAAGGGGGCAGAAUGCCCCUCAGAUCACUGCCAAGCCCUCAAUAUCUGGGAAUUCACCUCAUCUUCCUUGUUUAGGCCCCCUAUUGUGUUCAGAUCUUUCAAACCUUAAGAUUAUCUCUUCUGAUGAAGGAUGUGGAAUAUUUUGGCUAGGAUCUACUAAUCUUGCUCUGGGCUCAUCUCAAGUUGGUAUGAUGCAUUAGCAAUUCCUCUCAUUGGUCAUUCUAUUAUUGCUACUUUCAUUUAGUUCAAUUUUUUUUUUUUUUUGUGGAUGCUUCCGUAAGAUUGCUCCUUUGGUAAAAUUUGUAAGAAGAAACACUCCAAGUUACCCACAUACACACUAAAAUCAAACAGAGUAGGUGAUGUAUUUCAGUCUGUCUAUCUGAUAAAUUUAUUUCAAGCACUUGUUUAGUCUUUUCCCAAAUAUGAGAUUAUGUUCAUAUUUCUGUUGAUUUCAUUGGUGAACUAGCUGAUGGGGGAGCUUAGUUGACAAAUUUUCCUUAGAGUUUGUAAGUAUGUUAAUGGAUGUUAUCUGGGAACUUGGUGUCUGCAAUAAAAUUCCACAUAAUUGAACCUUUAGGACUGAAUCCAAUGUGAUACAGAUAAGUAUGUUGAAUUCUUUGAAAAGUAGAGAAAUUGGUUGUCUGUAAUGAUAGUGAUGAUGACAUGCCAAAGUUGAGGUAAUGGUGGUUGCAGUGUAUGUAUUGGCCAGACUAGAAUCAUAUCUUUGUUACUUGUUUGUUUCUCUUUCUAUCCUAUAUAUCAGUGACAAUAAAGCAGUUAGAGCUUUGUGUGAUUUUCAUGUGCCUUAUAUUUUGUUUUACUUAUGUGGUGCAGCUGAAAAUGCAUCUAACGUUGAUUGCAUAUUGAAUUGUGAUCAAUGGUCAAACUUUGUCUGUCUUAAAGAGGCUGAAGCGAAUUUGCAUCUUCCUAUUGUGGUCUGUAUGCAAGUAAACUGAAACCUGGGUUUGUUAAUAAUCAUUUUUGUACUUUUCCUGCUUACUUUUGCUUUGCUGACCAGAAUUCAAAGUUGGAUCGGUUUUCCUUGUUUAAUAACCUUUCUUCUGCGGUUAGCUUCGCAAAAUUAAAUCUUACAAAAGGGAGAACACUUCUUAUAUGUUGCCAUGAUGGUAAAUCUCACAUGCCAUUUUCCUAAUUAAACUAUCUUUUAUCUUCGCAACCAUCUUUGGUCAAGCUUUUUAUCUUUGUAAUUUCAUGGGAAAUAAAAUGGAUUGGUUUGUUUGUAUAGCAUUGAAGUAUGCUCUAACAUGUUGUUAUGCAUUUGUUAUCAGGGGAAGACAUCAGUGUAUGCGUUUGUCUGGCAAUCUUGAUAUCAUUGUUUGAUGAUGAAGGUAUGCUAUCUUAAGACUAACCUAUGCAAUAAUACUUGUAUCCAAUUAAUCUAUUAGGUUCAAUUCAACCUUUUGCUUAAUUAUGUUUGCUGCCUGCAAAAAUGGAUGACUGAUGAAAUCUCUUUCCCUCUUAAGGUACUAGACGAGUUUGUUUUCUUGAUGGUUGCCUUGUGGACUAAACUUCGUUACCCACCCCUAAGGAAUUUAAUCAGGGUAGAGUUGGUGCAUCUAGAGAAGAAACUGGAACCAAAACUGAAAUAUUGACAUUGUACCUGAAACCAAAACUUAAUAUUCCCAUGCAUGAUAGAUUGUUGUUAGCAUCCUUCUUUUGCUUUCUGACUUAUAAGUUUUUGGGUAAUUUCUCAAGUUUUCACCCUCUUUAGGGUCCUUUGAUGGUGGCAAAUCCUUCAGUGAGACAUGUAUCACGAAAUGUGAGAUGCGGCGACGACUUGUAUAUAUUUGUAAAUUUGCAAUAAAGGCCCGGCCAUCAAGAGGAAACCUCAAACAAGUUUUCAGUUUUCUUAAUAGUGGAAAAGUCACCUAAGUUUGCAGGUAUUUGAUCAGUUCUCUCAUUAUAUAUUUUACAGUGAAAUGAUGCUGACUGGCAGAAUUAUUCUUCAAAUGUAGUUUUCAGGAGAGCCAGAAGAUCUUUGGUGAAAGCUGAAAAUUUUGCACUGAUAUUUUACUCGAAUAUUUAUGUGGUUUUAUGUACCAAAAGAAAUUAAAUGAAUAUUUCAGUAAAGUCAGAAAGGGAAUAUUAUAAUGUACCAUAAAAUUAAGAAGACAGACGAGAAGAUUAUAACAUUUUUCAACCAUUUUUGUAAUAGACUAUCGACUAUGGUAUCAAAUCUACCUUUUUUUUGUUUCAAUUUUUUUCCUAGCUAUAAGAUGUUUUUAUUGAAUAAUCUCUUCUCCUUUUCGAUGUUAUUUGUUUUGGAGCUGUCUCUGGCACGUUGUUCGUUUUCAGAGUUCCAAUCUGAGUAAUCUGUGUUAUAAAUCCCUCAUCAAACAAUUAAACAAAUGAAAUAGUCUCUAAAUGCACGUGAUCAACUUGUUGCAUGGCCAUAAUUGGAAAGCACAAUGGAAAGAAAAUGAGCAUGCAUAUAUAAAGUAAUUUUAAUCUUAGUAGUUGCCGUAAUUCAAUAUUUAAACAAAUCAGUUACAUUAAUGGUGCCACAAUGCGACAGACUUAAAAAAAAAUAUUAAAGAUGAAAGACCAAGACCAAAGGGGAGGCAGUACUUCACAUUUUUCUUGAUGUAAUGGAGAUUAUAAGCUUUUGAUUUUUGGUUUUUUUUUUUAAGGGGAUCGAGAAAUGAUAGAGACAGUUUCUUUAACUCCUGUCUUGUUUUGCAAUGAUCUAAACACUAGUGAUUUAACUUUUGUCACUGUCUAAAAGGAGAGGACCCCAUUUUCCACUGAAGCAAUGCUUAAGCCUAAUUGCUUUGCCAUGGACAAAAAACGAGGUCAAGUCACAAGCUGGCUGAUCACAGGCAAAGAACCAGCAAGAUCAUGCAUCACCUCCACUUUCAACCUUUUUCUCUUUGGAUCCACCAAUUAUGCCAUUAGUAAUUCAUUAACAACACUGGCGUCAAAUUGUGUUAGUGAUUAAAUUAGUGGUUGGCAUUAAAUUAAAGUGAAGAUAGGUCCCAUUUUCUUAGUUUAAUCAACUAUACCCUGUCUUAUCAUCUAUUUAAUCAUUUUUUCCUUUUUGAUUCUCAUUUUGUCAAUUCAGGGAUAUUUUCCUUUUAUGAUAUAUAUAUAUAUAUAGAUGGAACAUUGAUUUCGAUAUUUUUGGUGCAAUUAUUAACUUUUUUUUUUGGAAUAUGGUGCCACACCUGAUCAAUAAAGAUGUAGAAUCAUUUAAAAUCCCAAACGAUCACUAAUAAUAAAUUAAUAAAAAUAUACAUAUUACUUUGCUUGGUUUUAAUUUUAUUAAUUAAUGAUCAUUAAUUUUUUUCAUAGGAUAUAAUUGUCAAAAUUAAUUCAUAUAAGAUACAACAAGACGGUGCAUACAAAAAAAAUCACAUUUUAGGUCUGAUGAUAAAUUCUAAAAAGUUUCAUAAAGUAGCUAAGCUUGCAAAGUUUGCCAUAGUAACAUUAAAAGGCACUCCCUUAGCAUUUGCGAAAUCAAAAUUGGUAAAUCCAAUUGUUAGAGGAAGUUCAAAACACAUGACUAAUCUUGAAAUUAAAACUUAAUUCCGGCCACCUACUUCACCUGUCAUUGGAGAAACACCCACUUUAUUUACUAGUACUAGUUAUAUAAAAUUAAAUACAGUGGUUUAGUAACGAAUUAGCCAACUUGAUUAAAUUAAUAGUCACAUACUAAUUACACACGCCAAAAUUGUUUUUCACCCAGUUCCUAACAUAUAUAAUAAUUGUAAUGCUUAAAGUGACUUUUUUUCAGCAACUGGUUGCCUGAUCUCCAUGAAUCAUCUAAAUCUUUGGUAUUAAAUUCCAUUCAUACUAAGUUAGGCAGAUAUACCACAAAUUCUAGCUACCUCAUGAUCCUGAAUGGCACAUAUGUUUAAUAUGUUUUAUUGCUCAUCGUUAGAAUAACAUUAAUAAUCUCCCUCCAAAAUUGGCCCCCCUGGCCUGUAAAAUACUAGGAAAAAAUAAAAACAAUGUUGGGAUUUUAUUAUUUUAUGUUAUUUUUAGGUUUGGGUUGAUUGUUGUUUGAUCUGUUUAAAAAAGAUAAAGCUUUUGAGUUUGGCCUCAAUUGAUAUAUAAAUAUAUAUAUAUAUAUAUAUAUAAUAAAAAUAAACCCACUUUGUCUCACAAAUAUAGUUAUGUAUUAAGUCCACUAAUUGAAAUUAACACCCUUGCAAUUUCCAUGUAGUAUGAUUGUUAAACUAACAUAUAAAUCAACACUGGUGAUUGGUUAAUUUAAUUUAAUGGCUAAUCUUGUUAAUCUAUAUAUGUUGUUUGUAGAGACUUACAUUUAAUUUAUGAAGUAUUAUUUAUUUUAAUCUGAAAAUUUUACAAUUUUAUUAUACAAAAUUUUUUCAUAAAUUUGAGUUUAAACCUUUAUUUAUAUAUCAUAAUAAAAUUUUAGAUAAUCCUAACAUAAAAUUAGGUGUCACACUAUCAUUGAAAAUUAGCACGAGAAGAGGGACUAGGCUUAUAUAAAACCUCACCAAGUUCACGCCGAGAGCACCGGCCUUCAAAAAUUCUUCUACGCACCACCCUAAUUAAUUAAUGUACCAUCUAAAUAUUCCCUUAAUUAAAUAUAUAAAUAUAUAUAUAGUCUAAGAAUAUCAAUUCAUACAAUCUAAAUAGCAUCCUAUAAGAUCUUAUUGGAUUGGAUGGAAAUGCUGGGGGGGGGGGGGGUUCUUGGGAGCAAAAAAUCUUGUGUUAAUUAAACAAAAAAAUCUUAUUCUGAUACGAAAAUUUCGAAGAGGAAAGAUGGAAAAUGUAUUUAAAAUGGUGAAGGGCCAAGUGCAAGAAGUUGGACUGUUUAGUGGCAUAUGCAAUGGCUUCUAAUUUGAACUCCGAAUUGCAACAUAAGCCAAAUGCUUUAACCACAUUGCUGGCGAUAAAGUAAUGGGAUUUGAAACAGAUUUUGUUGUCCUUUAUUAUUCUAGGAAAUCUUCACGUAAUCAAAAAGAAAGUUGGAGGAUACAAAGGAAUAUUCUCGCCCUUUCAGCUAAAUAUGUUACAAUACAUCAUCAUUGGAAGUUAUGAUUGUCCAGGAUUUAUGUUUCGGAAAUAUUUAGAGAAAUGCACAAUAAUUUUGGAUUCAAACAAAGAAAAACGUCUUAUUUGCUUGACUUCAUCAAUAUUCCAAAAGUAAAAAAAAAAAAAGGCAGGUCCAAAAAAAUUAAUUUAGAAAACAAAAUUGAUAUAUAUAUAUAUAUAUAGAUGAAUUUGCUUAUAUCAUGUUAUAAAUGGAAGGAAGAUCUCUUAUCUCCUGGAAAGAAGAUUCUAUCUUUUCUCGUACUUCUAUUAUUAAACAUUGAUAUGCUCUUAGUUGGGUUAAUCAAUCAUGCAUUACUAUUAUAGGACAUGCUAUAAGAGGCAGUUGCAGUGAUGUUUAGCAUUAAUUGUAGGUUGGAGAGCUUAGAAAAAGUGCUUUUGCCAAUUUAAACUGUAGCACAGUAACUAGCUAGCUUGCAAGAAAUAUGAUUUUAAUUUAAUUCUUAUGUAUAUAUAUGUUAUUUCAUUGUGUGUGUGAGAGAGAGAUAAGAGAAUAUGAUUACAAUAAGUCCAGCAAUACAUCCAAGAAUAUAUGAUGCUAAUGCCAGCAUAGGAUCGGUGCAACCAACUGACUGCAAUUUGGCUAAAGGAGUAUGUGCUUUAUAUUUAAUAAAAAAACAAAGAAAGAAAGAAAACCCUGCUUUGCUUUAGAAAAAAAGGGAACCCGUCAAUUUUUUAAAGAGGAAACUUUUUAUUUUCCAGCUGGUCAUUCCAGGAGCUUUUCUUCUUUUCAAUUCUUUUAACCCUUUUUAACUUUAAGAUUUAGAAAUUAUGCAAUCUAAGUUAUGUUGAUCUCUACCUUUUAAAAUGAUGAUCUUGAUGUAGUAAAAUUUGAAAACAAUUGGGACUCCCACAUUGUUAGAUUCAUGGUUAUACCAAACUAAGGUAAUAUCUACAAAAAUUCAGGUAUAUAUAUUUACUAAUGAUCAGUAAUGGAUUGGUGCAUGUCUUUUAUACUCUAGUUGUUACUAUAAUAUUAUAUGCAGCAAGCCAAAUUGAAAUUGGAGUUGGAACUAGAAGCUGGAAGUCUACUUAAUCAAAUCUUUAAUAAUUGUAUAAUUAUUAAAAUUCAAUUUGUAAUAUAUAAAAUAUAAACCGACAAUACUAAAGACAUGUGUUUAAAGUAAUCUCACUUCACAACAGGAUUAAACUAAACCGUAAAAUGAAAAUAUAUAGGAAAAGAAAGGGAACAAGAAAAAAAAAAUGGCCCCACAUUAAGGGAUGCAUAGUCAUCUUUUCUUGAAUUUACAUAGAAAAUGGUUUAUCCUUGCUCGCAUGGUAAUGAAAGUAACAACCACCAACACCAUAAAAAGACUAUCUUUAACAACCCCACAACAAAAGGCUUUGGAAACAUAUGUAAAGUUGGCUACUUCAUGGAAAAUCAGCAGACAUCAUUUUUUACUUGCAUAUAUAAAUACAUAUUCAAAUGCUCCAUAAGUUUGGUAGAGCAAAUCAAGUCCUUUUAUGUUAGAUAUAUGCUCACUGCUUUUUUUUGCUUUUCUUUCUUUCAUUAUCAUAUCGCCUUUCUUGACUGGUUAAUUUGCUUAGGACAUCUAAAAACUUCUUUGAAAACUGAGGUUCUGAUCAGAAGGGGAAAAUGGGUUCUCCAGAGAAGAAUGAGUUAGAGGAAAAUGGGUUCUCCAGGGAGAAGGGAAGAAAGCAAAAUAUGGGCAUAAUUUUCAGAUAUGCUGAUUGGGUUGAUGUUGUGCUAAUGGUGUUGGGUACUAUUGGAGCUAUCGGAGAUGGAAUGUCAACAUAUUGGUUAAUAGUCUUUGCUGGCCGCUUAAUGAACAGCAUGGGUUAUGGUAAUACCCCACAAAAUAAUAACAAUUUCAUGGAAGAUGUCGAAAAGGUUAGCACUUAAUUAGAUGUUAUUAGUUGUAACUUAGAACAGGUAGUCAACAAUUUCAUUCUAUUAAUCUUUUGUCCUGCUCUUUCUGUCUCUCAUAUAUUUCAUUUUGUUUUUUUUACUUUGUUAACAGUGCAGCUCAUACUUUACAUACUUGGGACUAGUAGUCAUGGUGGUGGCUUUCAUGGGUAAUUUUCAGGAAACAAUAUCAGUUUUCACGUUUUGUUUAGCUUUAUGAGGACAAGGGGAGAGUCUGGUACUAGUUAAACCUGCAGUCAAUUCACAAACAGGAGGGAUCCGAGGAAGCUAUAGUAGCAUAAUAAGGAGACAUUGACUUCAUAACCAAAAAAAUGAAACAAUAAAAUGAGUUCAUUUUAUGAAACCCUAAACACGCCCUAAUUUUGAAAAGACUAAAAUUUAACUGGUAUUAGUAUAUAAAAUCAAAGUAAUCCUAUUGCAUGUCAAAAUAUAAUCUAAAAAAGGAUACAAAAAGACUAAAAUUGAUCCAUCUUAAUGCUUGCAGAAGGCUACUGUUGGAGCAAAACUAGUGAACGGCAAGUGCUGAAGAUUCGUUACAAGUAUUUGGAAGCCAUUCUUAGACAAGAAGUAGGCUUUUUUGAUUCACAGGAGGCAACUACUUCAGAAGUCAUCAAUAGCAUAUCUAAAGAUACAUCUCUCAUACAAGAAGUCCUUAGUGAAAAGGUACCCAUUUCAUAUGUACAAUAUAUUCUUCUGCAGUUAAUCUCAUGAAUAUCGAUGAAUCUUAUUUCAUAGUAUAUAAUUCAGUAUUUAAUAGUGGGACAUUAAUUGCUAUGAUUUUACACAUUAUGGUUAACUUUUUGAACAAAACUAAAGUUCCAGAUCCGCCUAUUAUUGUUAAUUCAAACCAAGAUAGUGAAGUACUGUUCCUAACGUUUAAAUUUUCAGGUGCCAAUAUUUGUGAUGAAUUCAUCUUCCUUCAUAUCAGGACUUGCAUUUUCCACUUACCUUUCACGGAGGUUGGCUUUAGUAGUUUUUCCAGCACUACUUUUCCUCAUCAUUCCAGGAAUAAUUUAUGGAAAGUACCUUCUCUAUCUAUCCAAGAAAGCUUCCAAGGAAUAUGGGAAAGCAAACACCAUCGUGGAGCAGGCUCUAAGUUCCAUUAAGACGGUUUAUUCAUUCACAGCAGAAAGGAGAAUUGUGGAGAGAUAUUCAGCAAUAUUGGAUAGGACAAUAAAGUUGGGAUUGAAGCAAGGCAUAGCAAAAGGUUUGGCAGUGGGGAGCACAGGGCUUUCAUUUGCAAUAUGGGCUUUCCUUGCUUGGUAUGGAAGUCAUUUGGUAAUGUACAAAGGAGAAAGUGGAGGAAGGGUCUAUGCAGCUGGCCUCUCCUUUAUAUUGGGCGGACUGUAAAUGAUACCUUAACCCAUCUUAUUUCUGAUUACUCAUAUUGAUUAAUUAUGGACUAAUAAGCUCUAAUUAUACGAUAAGGGAUAUGCAUGAAACUACCUCAGGAAUCUCGAAUCAAAUAUUUAUCUGAUCCUUUCGAAGUUUUCCCCUAGUUCAACCAAAGUUCUCCUAGUACUCAUUUUCAGAUUGUUCAUCUGUAUGUAGCCAGCCACUAAGUGGAAAUUAAGUUUCUCUAGCUACUUAACUAAAAUUAAUGUGGUAAAUUAAAUGUAGGUCUCUUGGAGUAGCACUUGCUGAUCUGAAGUACUUCACAGAAGCUGCCGUCGCUGCUACAAGAAUAUUUGCUAGGAUUGACCGGACUCCAGAAAUCGAUAGUGAAGACACAAAAGGCAUUGUGUUAGACACAAUUCGAGGGGAUGUAGAAUUUGAGAAUGUCAAAUUCAUAUAUCCUUCUCGUCCUGAUUCCGUUGUUCUCAAAGAUUUCAACCUCAAAGUUGAAGCAGGCAAAACUGUGGCUCUUGUUGGUGCAAGUGGAAGCGGCAAAUCUACCGCAAUUGCACUGGUGCAACGAUUUUAUGAUGCAAACGAUGGAGUAGUCAAGAUUGAUGGUGUUGAUAUAAGAACAUUGCAAUUGAAAUGGAUAAGAGGAAAAAUGGGGCUUGUUAGUCAAGAACAUGCAUUGUUUGGGACAUCAAUAAAGCAAAAUAUAAUGUUUGGGAAACUAGAUGCUACAAUGGAUGAAGUCAUGGCCGCUUCCAUGGCUGCUAAUGCUCAUAAUUUCAUCAGACAGCUUCCUGAAGGGUAUGAAACAAAGGUGGGUGUUAACAAUAAAAACUUGUGCUUCCAUUGCUUAAAAAAUUUGUGAAAUUUGUUAUGUCUGUUAUUUCUUGAAUCAAAUCAGGAAAUAUAUAUAUUCAAGUCUGACUUUUAACAUGAAAAAUAUUGUACCAGAUUGGCGAACGCGGAGCACUUUUAUCAGGUGGACAAAAACAGCGAAUUGCGAUUGCCAGAGCCAUUAUCAAGAACCCUGUGAUUCUACUACUUGAUGAGGCAACAAGUGCUCUUGACUCUGAAUCAGAAACACUGGUACAAAAUGCACUUGAUCAGGCCUCCAUGGGAAGAACCACUCUGGUUAGUGAUAACUAGUUUGACUGCUUUCACUGGUUAAUUUCUUUUAUAAAAUACAAGAUGUCAGUUCCAUUAAUUGUGGCUGAUGAAAAAUAUAUGAAUUUCCUUGGAUUCUGCUUUGUGGCAAGAUGGGACUACAUAUAUAUUGUUAAUUACCUCAUCAUUUUUCGAUACUUGUUUCCAAUUUAAAGUGCUCUUAAGGAAAGCACUAUGAUAAUUUCAAUAUAAUCAUUUUCCCAUAAACUUUCUGUGCAUAGUUCUCUUAAAACACCCUGUCCGGCAUGUUUCCUGAUUAUUGGUCAACGUUUUACAACAAUAGCAAAGAUGAGUUGUCUUUGUUACCUAAUAAAUCUUUUUUUUUAAAGUUUACACCAUUUUUUUUGUCCUGACAUACAUUUAAUUUAGAUUGCAGGAAGUGCUAGGAAGAAAUUUAUUUAGAUUAAGGAUUUCAUUCUAGUUUAAUUUAGAUUGCAGUUCGAAUAAAAAAAGCCUUGGUCUCUUCUAAUUAAGCAGAGAUCCAAUUUGAUCAGGUUGUUGCCCACAAGCUCUCCACUAUUCGAAAUGCAGACCUCAUUGCAGUGGUUAACAAUGGUUGUAUUAUUGAAAUGGGAUCGCACGACGAUCUGAUAAACAUGAGAAAUGGCCACUACGCACAACUUGCAAAGCUACAAAGACAAUUCAGCUGUGAUGACCAUGAACAAAAUCCUGAAACACGCCUUUCUUCUGUUGGAAGAAUCAGUACAGGCAGGCUAAGCACAGUCAAAUCAAGCCCAGAUUUCUUUGCUACACCAUUGUCCAAUAUUGAAAGUCCAAAACCAGUAUCUCAUCCCCCUCCUUCCUUCCUUCGGCUUCUCUCUUUAAAUUCCUCAGAAUGGAAGCAAGGUUUGAUUGGUAGUCUCUCAGCUAUAGCUUUUGGUGCAGUUCAACCUGUCUAUGCCUUAACCAUUGGUGGCAUGAUUUCAGCCUUUUUUGCAACAAGUCACCAAGAAAUGCAGGCUCGGAUACGGACCUAUGCUUUGAUAUUUUCUUCACUUACAUUGUUCUCCAUCAUUCUGAAUCUUAUUCAGCAUUACAGUUUUGCUUAUAUGGGUGAGCGGCUAACCCGGAGAAUCCGGAAGAGAAUGCUAGAAAAAAUUUUGUCAUUUGAAGCUGCUUGGUUUGAUGAAGAGAAAAACUCUAGUGGAGCUUUAUGUUCUAGUUUGAGCAAUCAGGCUUCAAUGGUUAAGACUCUUGUUGCAGACAGAAUUUCAUUGUUAGUUCAAACUACUUCUGCUGUUACCAUCGCGAUGAUUAUCGGACUAAUUGUCGCUUGGAAGUUAGCAGUAGUCAUGAUUGCAGUCCAACCUCUCACAAUUCUAUGUUUCUAUACACGAAAAGUUUUGCUUUCUAGUAUUUCUACUAAUUUUGUCAAGGCACAAAAUCAAAGUACUCAAAUAGCUGUGGAAGCAGUCUAUAAUCAUAGAAUUGUAACUUCAUUUGGGAGCAUAGGUAAGGUUCUUCAACUUUUUGAUGAGGCUCAAGAGGAACCAAGGAAAGAGGCAAGGAAAAAAUCAUGGCUUGCAGGAAUUGGUAUGGGUUCAGCUCAAUGCUUAACCUUUAUGUCAUGGGCUUUGGAUUUUUGGUAUGGGGGUACAUUAGUCGAAAAGGGAGAGAUGUCGGCAGGGGAUGUGUUUAAGACAUUCUUUGUCUUGGUGAGCACUGGAAAGGUCAUAGCUGAUGCCGGAAGCAUGACCUCUGAUUUAGCCAAGGGCUCAACCGCAGUGGCCUCUGUGUUUGAGAUCCUUGACCGGCAAUCCACAAUUCCAGGGUCUCAAGUAAGUAGAAUGUUUCCUUAAUGCUAAAAAAAUGUAGUCAAAUUAAUUUAUCUUUGUUUAUAUUACAACAUAAAAUUUUCUUUCAUUUAAUCUGUUGACUAUUGUAUUAGGGAGGAGAUGGCACCAGUGGAACAAAGUUAGAAAGAAUGACUGGAAAGAUUGAGCUGAAGAAGGUUGAUUUUGCAUAUCCAAGCAGGCCAGAGACACUAGUGUUACGCCAAUUUAGCCUGGAGGUGAAAGCAGGCACAAGCGUUGGACUAGUUGGGAAAAGUGGAUGUGGAAAAUCAACAGUGAUUGGAUUAAUCCAAAGAUUUUAUGAUGUCAAAAUGGGGUCAGUGAAAGUAGAUGGUAUCGACAUAAGAGAACUAGAUGUUCAAUGGUGCAGGAGGCAAAUGGCACUUGUCAACCAAGAGCCAGUGUUAUAUUCAGGCAGCAUCAGGGACAACAUUCUGUUUGGAAAGCUUGAUGCAUCAGAGAAUGAAGUUGUGGAGGCAGCUAGAGCUGCAAAUGCUCAUGAGUUUAUCUCGUAAGUUGUUACUUUCAAGCCAUUGCAUUAAUGGCAUUGCAACCUUGCAAUGUAAUGAUAAUUCUGGUUUUUCAUUGAAUUUGUUGUGUAGGGCACUGAAGGAAGGAUAUGAAACAGAAUGUGGAGAAAGAGGGGUACAAUUAUCAGGAGGACAGAAACAAAGAAUGGCCAUUGCUAGAGCUAUAAUUAAGAACCCAAGAAUUCUUUUACUAGAUGAAGCAACUAGCGCUCUUGACGUGCAAUCCGAACAAGUUGUUCAAGAAGCAUUGGAUCGAAUCAUGGUGGGAAGAACCACAAUUGUAGUAGCUCAUCGGCUUAACACAAUAAAAAAGGUUGACUCAAUUGCAUUUGUUGCCGAUGGGAAGGUGAUUGAACGAGGUACCUAUGCUCAGCUCAAGAACCAACAAGGAGCAUUCUCCAAGCUUGCCAACCUUCAAACAUAGUUGUACUUGUUAACUGAUCUUAAAGACUGGAAAUGCCACUAUAGCUGUCAGUUCUAGUGUUACCCUAGAGCUACUAGCACUCACUCUUGGAUUAGUUAUACUUGGAAGAAAUAUCCUAGUUGUGUACGUAAUGCAGAACAUUGUGCUAAUGGAGCUGUGAAGGUAUCAAAACAUGGGAAAACUGGUUAUAGACAUGUAGAUUAAUAUUGUCAGCUGGUCUUUAACAUGAACCAUGACAUAGCAGUGAUAUACUAUCAAAUUGUAACAUAUAUGAUAUAUAAAUAAAAUUUAUGAACCAUAUAUACUUUUGAACGGGUCUAUUAUCAUUUUAAUUAACUUUUAAAACAAUAAAAAAUGUCUAAGAGCUCACACUAGCUAAUUAAAAUUUGAAGGAAAGAUUAUUUCAUUUAUGCUAUAACUAUGUAGUUGCUCAAGGGACAGAAAUAAAAUGCCUAAUGAGAUGCAAGGUGCUUUAAACCUGAAAAUGUAAAAAUGGCACAGCAAAUGUUUUUAUGCGAAAUAGAAGAAAAACCUCAUCAAUGGAACUUUUGGGAAUUUUGAGAGAUCCUUUUACUUUAUCCAAGCUGGUAUUUGUGUUUAAUUGCAUCGAGGCCCAUGAUCGAAUUUGGGUCUGAGAAAUAGGCCUACUCUGGAGUUAAUUAGUUGGGUUUCAGGCUUAGAUUAAGACGCCCAGUUUCCGACAUUUUUCUUUCCCGUCUUUUUUGUCUUUUAGGCCUUUUGUUUCCAUUAUUUUGCUUACUUUUCGGCAUAGAUUACAAUUUAACUUUCCUUUUCUUUUUUGUCUUUUAGGCCUUUUGUUUCCAUUAUUUUGUUUACUUUUCGGCAUAGAUUAUAAUUUAACUUUCUAUUAUAAUUUAAUUUAUAAUUUAACAAAGAGAGAUGCAGAGAGGGAGACAGAGAGAGAGAGUGGGAACAGACUGGAACACGGAAAGUUGGAAACUGAUUGUAGGAUAUAAUAUUUCAGAAUUCAUAUGGAAACUGAAAUCUACUUCUGAUAUACAUUGAAAAUAUGAAGCUUCCUUAUAAUAUACGCUACUAUUAGUAUAUAUAUAUAUAUAUAUUAGUAACAGUAACAAAAGCAAACCCUUAUUACAUGAUAGAAAGGUACACAGAAAUGAAAGAGACAAGCCAUUCGAGGAACUGUAGAUUGCCUCAAAACCCAGAAACAAAGAACUCAAAGAUAUAGCUAAACAAACUGAUUAAGGACACUAACAAACAUAGAAGAAAGAAAGAUAUCCCUAGUUUUUAUUUUUGUUCUAAUAGCCAGAGCCAGACCAUUUAAAAGGUGGAUUUGCUGGGGCUAGGGCCAUCAAAUAGCAGCUUCUGCCUCCACUCCACUCUCCAGCUUUAGCGUGAUGGCUUCACCUGGGACGCAUUGCUGUCUCAGCAGGGCCAGCUUGCCUCAGUUGCUGCCAUAUAUAGGAAACAAAGUGAGUUUUGUACAUAGGAAUUAGCAAGAAAAAUGUGAUUUAGAUAUGGUCCAAGUGGGUCGAGACUCGAGAGAUAAACCUGAAAGUACGGCUCGAGCUUUGCUUUGAGAGUGUCAUGCUCCUUCCGUGCCUCCUGGAAGGUGGCCUUUGCCCUGCGCGUCACAUUCAUUUUCAAAUGGAAGUCAGUAUUGCACGUAUAAAAGGGCCUAAACAAAUAUUAAAUUGGCAUGACUGAAAGUUGAGCAUUUCUUCGGUUUAUCCUUGAAACUAAAGAAUGAAAAUAUAAAUAUAUUUACUAGAUGGAGAAAAUAUGGAUGUAAACAAGAAUAUGAUCAGUACCCUUCCCGGUUUCCUUGCUGCCAAAGCUCCCUUGUCUUGGUGAUCUCAUUUCGAACUUUGUUAGCACCGAUACUGUAAUUUGAGCAAGAUUUAUUAAAGCUUGUUUGGAGAUUCAAAACGUAAUAUAUUUAAGUUACUAGCUAAUGGAAUUAAUAAUUUACCUGGCACUGCUGCCCUUGAGCUGAUGAAGGAUCCUGUCUACCUUUGGGAAGUCAAUAGGGACAUUUUCCCUGGAUGCAGAUAAAUAAUCAUCACUGUUCAUUGUUACCCUCAUCAUCAUAAUAAAAAAAAUAAGGUGAAAUUAAAUUAUAUAUUCAAAGGAAAACCUAGAGGGAAAUACAAUUAUCCAAAUCAAUAGUCUACUAACAUUUCUCGCUCAAUCGUAGCUAGCAGCGUAGUGGAGUCCCUGAAGUACAAGGUAAGCACCUCCUCGACAAAGUUGGGGUUCUCUCGAUCCUCUAGCUUCUCCAGUUGAAUGAACUGUCUGUCCAAAAUUUCCUUCAAUAGCAAAGAUUUAAGAUUUUCAAAGGUUCCAAUUAAUCCUUUUUUUUAUGAAUUAGCAUUUUUCCUAGAGGAGUUCAAAACAUUUUCAUGACAAAAAGAAAAUGUUGAAAAGUUCAUAUAUGAUGCAUAUUCUAGGAGAACAAAUUAAAUAAGUCAAACCAAGAUAAAAUGAAAAUGUUAUAACUAGUUUUAUUUUUUUGCUUGAAUAAGAUAAUUAAGGAUUUAAAAUGGAAAUUAAGAAAAUAAACCUUCAGAUUUCCCCUAUAGCAAGAAGAUAAAAUGAAAAAGGAAGGCUUUUUGUUUGCAGUGUAGUCAAAUUAAUAAUGGGGCAGAAAUUAAUAAAAUGGGUGACAUACAAAGAUGCUCUAAUUCUAAACCUGAAAAUGGGGGAAAAAAUGAACAUAACCAAUAUAUAUUUUGAUGGAAUUAGAAAACCUCAUCAAAGAAGGAUUGCCUCAUGGCAGCAAUUUGUUGACGCAAAGGUCUGCUCUCCAUUUGAAGGCAAAAUUACUUGAUAUCCUACAAUAGCUAGCCAAACCAGACUAUAUAUAAGCAGAAAAAGUUACAAAGAGCCAACAAAUAUAGAAGCAUGCAAUAAUAUUGUUUCAAUAUUCAUUAAAAAGAAGCAAAAGAGGCAAUUGUGUUAAGAAUGUGCAACCUAUGGUACAAAAAGCAUCAGAGAAAAUCUGAUCUUUUAGUAAUGAACAUGACUCUUGAAAACUUUUAAGAAAAUACAUUAGAUUCUCUGUAUCUAUUAAGUAGAUUGUGAAAUUAAUGAACAGGAUUCUCAAAAUUACUUUCUUUAAGGUUGGCGGGGACAAAAAUUACCAUUCACUGUCAUGGACUAAUAUCUAAAUCCGAUGUUAUAUACCAAAAGUUUUUUUAAAAAAAUCUAAAACAGAUGUUACCUUAUAAUUUUAAUUUUAAAAGUGAUAUAAUUUAUUUGAAUAAAUUAACUGUUAAUUCCGAAUUGAAAAUAUUGAUCUAUUGUUGUUUCAACAUUAUAGAUAUAUGAAUAUCUAACAAAUAAAAUUAAUCAUUCGUCAACAAAUAAUUGAUUUAAUUGAUUAAAAUCGUUCUCUUGAUAAUCAUUUAUUAAAAUUAUAUCUAAUGCAUAACUUACAACUACUUAUUUUAAAUUAUCAGAUACGAAACAUCUUAUCUUGAAUUGAACAAUCUAUUUAACCUCAAAUUUUUCUUACAAUAAAAAAACAUUCUUUUGGUAUAAAACAAAAACAAGUGACUGUUUUCUGUUGAUUUGGUGGUUCUGUUUGUAGCUUGUCUUAUUUGAGUCCAGUCCAAACCUUGGCCCAAAAAAACAGUCCAAAACUAAUGUAAUAGCCAUCAUCAUCGAUCCAUCAUAUUUUACUCUUUUCUUUUUUUUUAAUUUACAAAGUGAAACAAAGAAUAAUACAAGUUAUAAAGGCACAGUUACAAUGAUUGAACCUUUCCCUAGUUUAAUUUCCCUCUAAUUGCUAGGGAGAAGAGAAGGAUAGGAAUUGGAAAAGAACACAACAAACAAAUAGCAUAAACAAAAGAUACUCAUCCUUUCCUAUCUUUCUCUUCUUCACAACAUAUGCAUAAAGGAGCUCCUAUUUUUUUAAUCCCUGCUUCUCGCUCUCUUGACCAAACUAUAUAAAAGUGAGGAUUGAUCUAAAGGAUUGCAGCAUCAAACCUGUUCCUAUUAUGGAGUAGAUGUCAUAUUCCGGUCAACUUUGUAAAGAUCAGCAAGAAUAGCUGUAAGUGGCCUCCUCCUGUUCAGUCACAUGGGGUAUCUGUUUGGUUUGGUAAGUAGGUGAACUUACAAGAUCAAUCUUACCAAUCUCAUCUGUUAACUUUAGUGGCAGGGGAGAAUUAAGGAAAUGGAUUACGAGGUAAUUGAAGAAAGAUUUCACUGCCUCGGCUGGCGUUUCCCCUUGGAUUUUAAAUCCACAACAAUGAUAGAAAUAUUAUCCGAACUGUUUCGUCUUAUUGCUAUUUCUGUGAGAUUAUCAGCUACUCCUUGAGCCGGAGAAACCCCAUCAGCCAUCAAAGACCUUCGCCGCCGUCUUAACAGGCGGCGAGCUACCUCUCCAGCCUCUUCAUUUGUCAUGACAUCCCACAACCCAUCACUGGCCAAUAUCAAACACUCAUCCUCAUCAGUCCUGGUCAUGAAGGUAAUCUCUGGCACUGGAAUUAUCCAUGGCCUUAAAUAGCGAUCACCUGAGAGACACAUCGCAAACAUUAAGAAUCAUAAGGAUGACUAAAGAAGCUGAAUUAUCAUUUUUUUGUUUACCAUUGUCUUUCCAGUAUUAUUUCAGCCGCAAUGGGUUCUUAAAAAUAUCAGCACUCAGAAGCAAUACAAAACAGAAACCUCACCCCCAGCCCCACAUUACCCGCUACUUAUGGUCAUAGACACAGUAAGAAGAACUAAUAUUCCUACAUUGAAUUGGAUUCCCUGUCUUUUUCUUGCUUCUAACUACAAUCGCAAACAUAAUGAUAACUUUCAACACUAAUGUGAUUUACAAAAUCAUGAUAGUUUAUGAGAAGCUAUAUUGAAACCAAAUGUUGAAAGUUGCUAGUGCUAAUCUACAACCCAAGCUUGACUUGAUACCAAGAUCUGAAUUCCCAGUUCCUAUGGGUCCUUAAUUGUAUUAUGGUGUCAUGGGGGUAUUACUGUUUUUAGUAAAUCAAUUACAAAUGAUUUUAUUUUUUAACAACCUCCCCUCUCCAAACCAUAAUCAGUUAAAAUUUCAACUAUGUGAUGAUCUGUAUAUUGUGCCAACCAGUGACCACUUUUAAUAUCUGUUGUAUAUGAACAAAAAUGAAUGGACAUAUUUAACUAAGCAGACUGCCACUUUCCUGUCGAAAACCUAUGUGUUUAUAAUUAGAGUUCACAAAUUUUAUAUUUCAGAAACUCAAAGAUAGAGCCAUUGCCUUCUGUUUCGGCUAACCAAAUUCCAGCCAACUUUUUUAGAAAAUGCUGAGCGAAUGUAGAAUGAAGGCUUUGAUAAGCAUAUGGUAACGAGAAUAUUUUAUCAACAUAUGGUUUUUAUCACAAAUCAAAGGCAAAAAAUUCUUUGCCUAGGUGGAGGAAGUCAAUGUAUUGGACUAAGAGUGGGACAGAGAUUAGUAUUGGUAGUUCAAUCACACAUUAUAAGUCACUAAAGAUAUUUGAUUAUUCAAAAUUAUAGUUUUAUUAUCUCGAAAGAAGGAUAAUCAUAAUGAAAGCUUUUUCGACUGGUGAAGCAGGACAAUGUGUCCUUAAACUAGUCAAAGACCUCCAGCUACGGUGAAAGCAGGACAAGGCUGACAAUAAAACCGUAUUAACCAUAUAAUAGCAUUAAGAAUAGCUAACAACAACAACAACACUAUUUUCUUUUCUCCAAAAAAAAUUAAAAAAUAACAGAAGACUCGUCUUUACAAAUGGUGACAGUUUUAAAUUUUGAUCAGUAGACUAGCUAUGCUUUCAAGUUUUACAUUUUAACACCAAUCUAGUCUUUAGAAAUGGUAUUGGUGACAAUUUGAGAGUUUUAACAGCAUUAAGGCUAGCCACUCUGUAGAUAGGCGUCAGUUACAAAUUACACUGACAAUAAAGUGAUUUCUCAUCAGAUUACAGAAAAUAAUAGCAUCUAGAUUUUUCACCUGCUAACAAAAGAAUAACUAUAACUUUCUUCAAUUGCCAUCUACUCAUGCUAAAUCCUACAGUAGGAAAUGAGGAAUCCACAUAACUCAUUCAAAAGUAGAAGUAAAAAGAAUAGAAAAGAUUCAACAUGUUGAAGAAAAUACAAUCACUUAUAUACUACAUAACUAUAUGAAUAUGUAUACACUCAGAUAACAUAUACUGAAAUAUAAUCUAAAAAUUCUCUAUGUUAAAAUUUGAAUCUUUAGUUUUCAUGCUAUCAUGUCCAUUUGGGAUAUAAAUAAUUUUAAUACGGUUAGGAUUUUUUUUAAGAAUACAAGUUCAUUUUUUCCACAAUUUUAAUAGUGCAACCAAAUAAGCAUUUCAAAAUGUUUGAUCCUAUUGCAAUGAUACAAGAUAUAUUUUAGGGAUCCAGCACAAUGCCAUCAAGCAAUCCACAACUUAUUUUCAAUCAUUGUUUUGCCAAAAUAUCAUUUAGAACAAAACAUUUUUUCCUAUGUGAUUAAAUCACAGAACAAUAGAACAGGCUAGAUGCCAAUGAGCAUAAUGAUGUUAAUCAGAUAAGGUAUUACAAGAUGCCUUGAACACAUUCAAAUGAAGAAGUUUGAUAAAUGCUAAACAAGAAAUUUGAAAUGAAAUAGAGAUGUAGAGACAAAGGAGAACCUAUGGCUCUGGACAUUGCAAGAACUCCAAAGACCCUAGCACCAUUCCAGUUUAUGACUCUCCCUCCCUCUCUUUCAAUUCUCAGGAGCUCGUCCUGCCUAUCUGGCUGUAGUAAGCAGAAACAAUAAUGAAACAUAAAUGUCUUUAAUCUUGUUGAUGAAACAAAGCUUAAUACACCACUAUAGAACCUAUGAUAUAUCAAUGCAGUUAAUCACUUGCCAAGUGAUGUCUUUGAUUAGAUUAGCUCCAUAAUGUGCUCCACUAAUGUUUUGUGUCCCUCUAAUGCCAUAAAAAUACAUAACAUCUUUAUAUCUAUGCGCAAGUUAAUUUUAACAAAAAAGAGGGGAAAAAAGGAACCAAAGCCUUAAAAUUAUCUGAUUAGAGAUAAGAUGUCUUAUAGUUAGUCUUGGUUGACUGUUGAAACAACCAGUUAGUUUUUGUAGCACACUAGUUUGGUUAGUUUGGGUAAGUCAUAAGGUAACUAUGCGCUAAAAGCAUGAAAAUAUUCAACUUAGAAGGUUACAGACUCUUAUCAGGCUAUGAACAAGGGACAGUAGCUGAAUAGUUAUUAGUAGAACACCAAAGAUGGCUAUUACCUCAUUGGCUUCAUCCUCCACUUUCUUUUGUAUACAGUUCUUAAAAUUUCUUGAAAGAGUAUGAACUUGUAAAAUUAUAACAGUUAAUUAAAAAAUUUCAAAAAACUAGUGAAUAGAGAAUGACUUAAAGGCUAAAGGAAUUUCCAUCGUUACCUUCUGAUCAACAGUUAACGGAAUUGUUUCAGUUCCCCGGCAAAGCACAGUCCUCGAAUCACCACAAUUCGAUGUAAUAAUCUGGCAACCAGAUAAAACUACAACAACAGCGGUUGAUCCCACCAUUUCUGGUGCAACUGCUGCAGUCAGGACUUCAUUGUCAGCCCUCUCAAAACUACUGGAAAAUGCCACUUCCCAUCUCCUCUGCCACCCUGAGCUCCCAACCACUUCACGGUCCCAUUCCUCUGCUAACACUCCAUGCAUCCUCUCAGCACAAAAUUUAGCCACCUACCAAUUAUUGCUGAAGUUAAUAAGUGGCAUCAGGAACGUCAAAAUAAGGGAUUGUCUAAUUUGUCAUAUAACGCAAACAGGCAAAUGCACUGUUGUUAGUAUGCUUCACGGUAAGGAAAGAAAAGAAUUCCUUCAUACAGCAAAAGAUAACUAAAACUUCAUAUUCAUGCUAUUAUAGUGAAGCAGAAACUGAUGUUAAACUAAAAUAACUCCGAGUAUAUAUCUUUCAAGCUCAAGCAUUGAUUAUAAUGAAUUUGCUUUGACACAAGGGGAAAAUACAAUAUAUAUCCACAUAAUUUAUCAUGGAUUUCAAGUAACAGCGGUUAAUUAGCUUGAGAAAUCUGAAAGAUCAAUUUACUGCUUAAAGAGUAACUUCAAAACUAACAAAGAUAGCCAACUCCAAUAGAUAAACAGUGCAGCAGACGCAUGUACAUAAAGAGAAUUAUAUAUGCUCUCCACAUGUAAUCCUUCCGUUGAAAGUCAAUUGCUUUAAUGAUUAUCAACUUCAAGGCACAAUGAUCUAGUGCCUCUAUAUCAUGACUCUUGAGGUUAAAUUAAAUUGAAUUUGUAUUAACCAGUGCCUAAAAGAUCCAUUAUAUAUAUAUAUGAGAUGGGGAAUUGGGGCUACAAAAAUUAGACAAGUACACGUAUAUAUUUUCUCAUGUAUUCAUUUAAGAAAAUAUAUUUAACAUGUCCCUUUAAGAAAAAAAUUACAUAUACAAUAUUACAUUUUUUUGCAUUUAUCAUCAAAUGAACAGACAAUAAAAUAUAAACCAACGUAUAGAUUAUUACUCCACCUAUAAUGUAUUAUAUAAAAACAUUUAGGCAAGUUCUUUAGGAAAUCCAAGGAUUCUGUUGAAAACAUGACAAUAGUAGGACAGUUGUAUACAUGAGAUAAGAAUAUUAUUGUCAUUUGAUUAAAAUAAGUCUUAAGAUCAAAGAAAAUAUAACAUAGUUUGUGAUGAUUUUCUUACAAAUUAAAAUAAUUUGGUGGAAUUGUGUUCUUUUGAUGCCUACAUGCUAAUGGACACAUGUCAACAUUAACUACCUACCAAAUGGUGAGAUAAAACGUGGCUUAUAACUAAAAUUAGUUUGGGGUUCAUUGCAAAUCAAGAAAAGCACCAAUUUGUUUAGAAAGAUGAGAAAAUCUAGCGAAAAAAAUAAAGAAAAAGGAGAUUAUAAAAUGUAAAAGAGGGAAGAACUAGGUGACUACUGACCACAACCCGCACACCCAAAAGGCUAAAACCCCUUUGCGUAGACCCGACCACGGGUUAUGCUACUUCCUCAAUGUCAUAAACGUUGCGCACCCAAGAAAUAUUUGGUCCCACUUCCAUUGACUUUCCCAUUCCCACAAUGAAGGAAGGAACCUCUUUGAUUCCCAGUGGCUCACACUAUUCAUUAUCGGUAUACAUCACCACCAUCUCAACUAAAAUGGUGAAACCCCGCAAGACCCAUACCCAAUAAACAAAAUUAAAUUAAACCAAUGAUAACUUGGUAAUUCAAAACUUCAUCUUAAACCCACAAUCUAAGAAAAUGGCCUUGACUUAUUUACAAAUGGUAAUGCAUGAGAUUUGCAUUUCGCAAUACGCUGACCACAAAAAUCAGGCUGGAUGGAUAUCCUCAGCAAAGCAUUUUUUUUUAACCACAAAAACCAAAGCGGCCGCAACUAUUGAGCUAAGACAAAAACAAAAAACUGCUGUGCUGGUUUUCUAUGACACGUGUCCAGGAUGAAUGCGAAAGGCGCUAUAAAUUCUCCUAUGUAUGGAAUGGACCACUAGAAAAUGAGAACGUGUCAAACAAUGUCAAAAAAUUUUAUUUAUGUCCAAUAUAUAUUAAUUUUGAUAUACCAUCGAAAAUACAAACAAAAAUUCCAUGGAAACGGGAAGGGAGUCUCUCUCGCCAUCUCCCCUCCUUUUUCUCUUUAUGGAGACAACCGAUAAUUCAUAAUUUGACUUUUUUCUAGACUUAAACAAUAAAACAUUUAAAGAGUUAAAAACAAAUUGAAUUUUAAAAGGAAAAAAAAACCAGUUUUAAGGUAAAAUUAAGCAAAGUGAAUCCUAAAGAAGUGAAACUUGUUACCCGUGAGCCACCGUGGCCAUCAUAGACGCCGAAGAAAUGGAUAGGGGAGAUUUCAGCGGAGGUUCUAGAACCAUGAGCCGUACAACCUCCCACGUGAUCGCACUUGUGUGACAUGAACGCCGGUAUAACGGCGAUAGCAUCUUCCAUCUCUCUCCGUCUCCCAAUCACCGAAGUGAACCCCCAUGUCACUCCCUUAUUAUUCAUCCCAACGCAAUUCUUUCUCGCCGUUACCGUCAAAUCCAACUCCUGACCAGUAGGUGCAGGCUCGAGCAACCUCAGAACCACAGCCUCCGCUGUUAAAAUCUCACUGGAACUCCCGCUAGCGCCGGAGAUAUCACCCGAACUCGUCGUGCUUCUAGAAUCCUCCGCACUGGGAAUCGAGGAUUGGCUUGAACUAGCCGAAGUCAGGCCCGGUUCAGGUAGCGAGUCGACUCGGUGGAAUCGUUGUUCCUCUUGUUCUUCUGGUAGAGGUUCCAUGUGGAGUGACAGAGAAGAAAGAGAGAACAGAAAGAGAAUGAGAUAAAAAGAAGAGGGAAGCCUUAAAAGAAAUGCGACACGUGUGAAUAAAAUUGAGUCGAUGACACACGAAUCCCCAGUGAAAUUAUACGAAUUUAGAAAAAACUGGAAAAAUAAAAUAAAAGAAAAAAAGUCAUGGAUUACGAGUCGUCCUCACUUUCUUUUUCUUGCAACGCCACCUGUCCUUUGAUUUACCUAUGCCACGCUGAUAUGAUGGUGUUGCGGGUCUAGAAGCCCAGACAAACAAAUAAGAACAUAGCUUCGCUGUCGGGCUACUCUCUUGAAAUUCCCUGCGCCAACAAUAAUUAAAUGAGGUGUCACUGCAAUGAAUGUUUCAAAAGCUGGCAUGGCAGUAGGGAAGAAGCUGAUUGGGUGUUAGGUCAUCAUAUACAAAGCACAAGUAUGUAUUGGAUUCGAGUAAGUCUAUAUCGCAUGAAUCUAAAGUACGUCCUUAAACUCGCUACGUGGCGAGUAGGAACAGAGUUAGGGCCCACCAUUAGGUGGAAAUAGAGCCUCGAGUAAAAAAUUGUAAUUGAAACGGAAUUUUUAUUUUUGCUAAAUAAUCCGAGUCAAGAGUUAGCUUUUAAUUGUAGCAAUAAAGCGAGAAUCAUACGGUUGAUAUUGGAGGAUCAGGUUUGAUCACGAGGUCCAGAGAAAUAAUGAUGCACGACAAAAGAGAGCAUGGGAACCCCGAGUGAGGAGUUGAAUCAACAUCGAAUCAAUGGGAAAGUCCCCAGUGGCUUCGAUUCUGAUAAGAUCAGACGGCACACUGCCAACUGUCAAAGUUUUUUUUUUUUUCCAAACUAAGGUUAGUAGAAAUUUUUAUUCUAAAAAAAAGGUUGUUGUAUUCUUAAUUUAUCGACGAUAUUUUUGCCAUGUAAACAUAUAACCGCCACAUCAACUCUUAUUUCUUUCCUAUCUUAUUUUUUUGUCCUAGAAUUUGUUUUCUCUUUUCUCAUUAUUGCAUUCCUUGUUAGCUACAUGAAGUUAUUCUCAAGAAAGAGGCCUUUACUCCUUGCUCCAAAAGCUAGUACAAGAAAUUCAUCAAGUAAAAAAUAGAGCACCUAUGUUGGAUGAAGGACACAACCCCAAAAGUACUAAAUCAAAGUUAAGAAAGGAUUCGAUUAAUGUUGAAACGGAUUUGAAGAUAUUACUUUUAAGUACAUUAUUUUAGAACAACUUAACAAUGUAAUCGAGUUUUUUAGUGAAAUGUAAUACGAAAAUAAAUGUACAGAUGAUAUGAUGACAACUUUUAUAAUGAUUGUAAUUUUCAAUUGUUGUUUUAAUUCAUCGCAAAUUGAUUUAAUAUUUCGCUCCUUUCAAUGGUGGUUGGUAGCAGGCUAUUUUGGUGAGCAAGUGAUGAUAGUACGAAAGAAAAAAAAAAAAGGGUUAUGUGGCAAAUUUUUGCCGCAUGUAUCGUGACAGGGCAUUCAUACGUUAGAAAGUAUCUUGUUUAAGGAAUAAAAAAUAAGACUACUUCCGAUAGGGAAUAAAAAUCUUAAAGUACUCCUAUUUGGAAAAAAAACUCGCCAAACUUAUCAAUGUAGAAUAAACACGUGAGCAUGCAAAUGGGGCCCACGUAGCUUCAGUUUGACACGAUUCACUCUAUAAGACAUUGGUACCUCCAUCGGUCUGGGAUUGAAAAGUGUUGCAGUGCAAGAUUCUUUCAACGGCGAAAUGACUGAUAUAUCCUUCUGUCUCUUUUUGUGACUAUUGUAUCGGCUAUUUUGCAUCUCAAAUGAAAGGGUGACGCAUAUGUCGAGAUUUGACCUUUAAAUUCAUAUAAUUUUGAGAUUUGAGCAUUUGAUAUUUUAGAUUAAUUUAUUUAUUAUGAUUUUUAUUUGAUAUUUUAAAUUAAUUUAUUUAUUAUGAUUUAUAUUUUUAUGAAAUAUUAUUUAUUUUGAUUUUUUUAAUCUCAUAAUUUUAUUUUACAAAAAAUGUCACAAAAAAAAGAUGGUGUGAACAGAAAUUAUGUGAAUCUUUUUAUACGAUCCUUUUUUUAUAUUCGAUGUUUUUUAUACUCUAGUGAUUCUCUUUUUAUAUUUGAUGUGAGAUCCAAAACUUCUCCUUAGAUUCGUGAUAUUUUUUCUCACAUAAUUUCAUGACGUCUUCAUUACGGAGACUAAUUAUCCUGUCUACCUCUCUUAAGGUAUUUGACGUAGAUCGAACGUAACUCUGAUACUACUUGUCACAGAUCGAGAUUUAUGCUUCGAAAACGUAACUCCAAGAUCCAAGCAUUCAUUUAUCGGGUAUCUCAUAUUAGUCUAUUUGUUAUAAUUUACAUCAUUGUAUAGUAUUAUUUGCUCUGAUCUUCAUGAUCUUAUGAUUUUAUCUUAUAAAAAAUAUCUCAUAAAAAAAUAAUGUGAAUUAUUUUAUAUCUUAAUAAUUUUUUUUUAUAUUUAAUAUGAAAUUCAAAACUUCGUGGUACAUAACAUAGGCUAGGACUAAGGCGAUGUUUGGUAACGGCCUUUUGGGAUAAGUCAGGUAAGUAACAUUUGUCCGCGUGAAAGCUCGGUUAUUACUUUUAUUACUACCGCUUUUGCUUGGCCCACGUUUUCCAUUAUUAGAUUACUUGCUUUAGUUUCUAUCAAAUUCGAGAAUUGCCUUUUUUAUCGUUAUCCAAUUUGAAACGUCCACAAUAAACUAAAUAAUGUAUGAUUAUAUAUGGAGCAGUCAAAAAGAAAAUGUAAUAAAAUGAAAAUGAAUUAGAAAAUUUACUCAACAAAAAUUGCAUCGAUCUUAAUUUGAUUAAAAUAAUUAAAAAUUUUGAAUUAAGACAAAUAUGGAAUAAUUAAAUUUAAAAUAAUUUGAAUACAAAUUUAUUUGAACUAAAAAAAAAUUUAAAACAAACUUGAAUACGGUUUACACUUAAAAAAAUACUAAAAAUAUUACAUCUUAUAUUAAAUUUUUAAAUAAUUUGAAUUAAUUAAAACUUAAAAUGAUCAAAAAUAAAAAGCUACAUAUUUUAGUAUUGCUUUCUUUCAAAUUUUCUCCCUCAAUUGUUUGCCAGCUAUCUAAUUUGAUCAUCAGUCCCAAAAAAUUAAAGACUGGCGUUAAAAUCAUUGGUUCCACGUGUUUUGGCCAUUGCGUGUGAAAUUAUCCUAAGUAGAGGUCUAUGAUGUAAAAUUACCGUCUUGAUGUCAAUGUUGCAAGCCUUGACGUUAGAUUAAAACGCUUGUCGAGUUGUAGUGAUUAGUGAAGGUUUUUCUUGGUUUCAAUCAAUCAAAAAGUACUGGCUUACAAAAAAGAUUUGUCCACAAUUAAAUCUCAAACAUUGACUAGCUAGACAAAGAUUUCCGCUGAUGGCCACAACACAUCUCAUUAGUUUUUAUUUUUUAAAUUCAUUUAUAGAAUUUAAAAACAUUGCAUAAAAAAUAAACUCAGACAAAAAUCAUAUUAAAUCACCAAUGAAAUAUCUUUAUAUUUAUGAAUAUUUUACAUUCUUAAUUUAAUCUUUUUCUUCGGACAAAAUGCAAGAAUUAUAAGGUUCACCAGUCGGAAGUUUCCCUGAAAAUGGGCCGACUUUAUAUUAUGUGGGAUAUGAGCUGUUUUAUCCAACCAGUUUUGUAUUAGUUCAUGUUUUGAGCUGUUCUUGUUUAGUACAGACUACCAAUUGAGUUUUGAAAUCAGCCUCUGGUGUUUAUAGACUGUUUGGUCAGUGAGAAAGUGAAAAAAAAAAAAAAAGUGAGAAAAUUUUUGUUGGGAAGAGUUUUUGACAAUUAUAAGAACAAGUUAAAUUUGACCAAGUUUUUUUGACAAUGAAAAAAAGUUUUCUAGUAUUGGCAAUAACAAAUUUUGGUGUGCAAUAGCCUUAUAGACAUAGAUUAGGGAGAGAAGAAGAAAAAUGAAUAAGAGAACAGAGAAGAAACAAGAAAAAAAAAUGUAAAAUAAUUAUUUUUAUUUUUCAAUUUAAAUUUUAAUAAAUAGUGGUUUUUGUUAUUUGUAAUUUUUUUUCUUUCAGGAAUUCUACAUCGGCAUUAAAAAUACCAUGUAUUAUCAAAAUAUUAACUUAAAAUAUUUUCAAAUUCCACAAUAUCAAUAAAAAUUAAUUUUUAAUUCAUAUCACCUUCGUAUCAUCGACACAUACCUAAAAAAAAUGACAUUAGAACUAAUUCGAAAAGAAAUCCUUAGGUUACGUCAGUAAAAAAGAAAAUAUAUCUAAUUAGAUUACACUGCGAUGGUAGAAAGGCUUUCUGCUGGACCUUUUCCCUCUAAUCUCGAAUCGACUGUUCAAUGUGAUUGGAAUGGUGUUAAACCCAAAGAUACCCUUGGACUAUGGACAUUAUCAAAGUCAAACCCUAGAAUAUGUAUUGCUAUUUGAAGCCACUUUCUAAACCCAAAUUGAGAUUGGCAAUUUAUUAGGCUUAGGCCCAAUAAGGCACAAUUUCUAGGCACUGAUGCGGGCUGUAGCAUAAUUUAUUAGUUCAAUUAUAAAUUCCACAAAUUUUUUGAAGUACGACAAUAGUACUAAUAAUCUUAGGUAAAUAAUCAUGUUAAAACUUAUAAGACCGUUGAAAAAUAGUAUUAAUUAGAUUAAUAUUUAACGGACCUUAGCCAAGCAGUUGCUUAAAUGCUUAAAUGCUUAAAUUAUCGAAAGCAGUCGUAAAGCCCCACCUUAACAAAUACUUGCGACUUUUCAUUUAAUGAAUAAAAAAUAAAUUAUCAUUCUUAAGGUAAUUUUUUGGACCAAUAAACUAGCAAAAAUUGUUAUCCGCAAUUUCUUGGAAGUUGAUGUUGAUAGGGGCAGAGAAGUCAAAAAAGAUCGUUGCCUUUUUGAGAUGGUCAAAUUUCGCCCCCUUGAAGCAGGCCUUCAUAUACAGCAGCGGACAAAGGUUCUGCUCCCAACCAUGCUUUGCUUCCUUAAAACUAAUCUCCAAAACCUCUUCCAAAACAGCAGUUAAGCCCCCACCCUUUAUCGUCUGACAAUAAUCUUUUCUUCCUAAAUUUCUUGUUUUGCUAAUUGCCAUGACCAGCGGACCAGCAAAAUACCAUGUUGUUGUCGUUUCAGGCAAUAAUUCCAUAAUCCCUUUCACUCAACAAUUCGACCUCGACGAUGCUAUAACGAUGCCGGAGAACCUUCAAGUCAGGCAUCAAGCAGUCGCCCGUUUGGUUUCGGACAUGCCAGCGGUUAAUUGUGCAACUGGUUGUUGCUCCAUUUGCAUGGAAAGUUUCCCGCAAUCCCAGGGAUCAGCUGCUUCUAGGCAAGUCUCAUGCGGCCAUGUCUAUCACCAUAAUUGUAUCUUCGACUGGCUCCUGAACGGCAACAGCAACUCUUGCCCUCUUUGCCGCCAUCAAAUCUUCGACUGAUGAAAUGAUAUGAUGAUAUAUAUACACACACAUAUAUAUAUAGCCACAGCCCACAGUCCACAGACAUUUAGCUAUCUAAUUAUCUAUAGCUUCUCAAUUCGGAGUAUAUGUCCACUCCCGAUCUUUUUUUUUUUUUUUUUUUUAAAUUAUGUAGUUGACGAAAUUAAGAUAAAUAUAUUUAAAGACUUAUUAUAUCCAUUAUGUAUAAAUUAUAGUAUCAACUUAAAUGUUUGUUUAUGCAUAAACAUUCUUUAUUAGAUUUGUGAUUGAUCAUAUAUUCAGCUAUAACUUACCACAUUUUAAAAUUGUUAUAGGGAAUUCAAAUAUUCUUAAUUAUAUAUAAUCGCAUUGCAAUCUAUUAGUUCAAUGAAUUUGCACCAUUUGGUAAUUAUCUUGAAUGGGCAAAUAUUUUUCUACAAAAGUGAAAACGAGAUUAAGGGCAAAAGUCACAUUUGCGUUCAAUUUGCAGUGGCAAGUGGACAAGCAAACUAGCAACUGGCUGGUGGGAUAUCAACGGAAAGAACAAGUUGUAAUCUGGAAUUGCGACAAUUUGACAAGAUUUUUUGAACGUGAUGGCUACGAAUUCUCAAUAGGAAAAGGUCAGUUACUUCUUUAUUACAAUUUUGAACAUCAAUUACAACAUCAUCAAUAAAAGAAAAAUAUUCUUCGUUAACUAAUUCAAUAAUGUUGUUCGGCUAAAAAUUUAAUAUUAAGUGCACCAAAAAGAGGAAAAGCCAAUAAUAUCUUGAAAAAUAAAGAAGAAACAAAAUUAUAUUGAAUUGAAAAGUUGCACUUCAAAGUUCUACACUUGACCCAUCAAAGAGUUCAAACUUCUCUGCUAAAUCAAAUCUUGAUUGCGGUUUCCUAUUUGUUUGUAUGUUUGAAAGAACAAGAAAAAAAGUUAUAUACUUUCCCCAUAAAAAUACAAAAUACUUUUCUCAAACACGUUACUUAUUAUAGACAAAAAUAUAGUUUUCAAAGGGAACGGAAAAUGGGAUCAAAGUGGCAAAAUUUUCGAGUGGAGGGAGAAAAAGGGAGUGUAGCAGAUAAUAAAAAAUAACUCAUGCAAAAGAGACUGGACUUUUUGCUCCCUCGAUCUAACAUCAGCCAUUUAGACUUGACUCUUUGUAUAUAUAUAUUUUUUUUGUUGGUUUUCGGCAAAGACUUGUGCAGUAGCAGAAUUGAUAGGUUUCGAUUAAGCAAUAAAAACUCCAUAAUUUGUCAGUAACUUUUCUCACCUUCAACAACAUCGAUCAUAUUAGCUGAAGAAAAAUGUUGUCCUAAGUUUUUUUUUGCCGCCUACGGCUUUUUUAAUCUAGGCAUUCUUUUGAAUUGGACAUAUGUGUGGUAGCUAAGCCUCCAAGAAGCUAGCUUCCUAUACCCAUUAUUUUGUUUGGGCAUUGGCUGUGUAAAUUAAUGGUUUUUCUCCUCCUGAAUUGCUUUGCAUGUUUUUCUUUUAUUUUCUCAUAAACUGCAUGCUGUUUUUCCGACCUUGAAAAUUGAGGACUUUAUAAAACUUUAUUGAAGAAAAAAAUUCAAUCAAUGUCGGUUUUAUAUAUAAUAAUAUCAUUUAAGUUUUAUUUAUUUAUUAUUAAUUAAUUUUAAAUCGAAUAUUUAAUAUAAUAUUUAAAUCUAAAUAUUUCUUUCCUAUUUAUUAUUCUUUACAAAUUUAUUACGUGAUAGAUUUUUUUUGUGUUAUGUUUACAUGUGAAAGAAUCUAUUGAGUAAUAUUAUCUCAUAUAUAUUUAUUAGAUAUUAAAUUUUAUGUGAUUUUAUAACUAAAUGAAAUCUCUUUUAAUUUAUUAUCAUUUGAUUUUAAGUUAUAAGGGUAAUAUUAUUGUUGGUUUUUAUGAAAUAAAAAGGUAAAGUGAACUUUACUUUUUAAAUCAACCAUGUGCAUUAUCCAAUAGGCUUCCUUACGCCCAUGUCUCUUUCUUCACUUUUUUAAUCACUAUGUAAGACAUGGGAAACCCGGUCGAACGUAUAUCGCAAGCAAACAAUUAUUCAUUGAAAUUAAGGCCUUUUUAUUUUUUUACACUUUUUGUUUUGACUAUAAUUGGAGGAAGGAUUGACAAAAUUAACACAUCAAUACCUGACCCCAGAAGUUAAGUUAGUCCUUAAUAUAUAGUCUUUACCGUAUCGUCAGCACAGGAAUUAUGCCUCCCCGACAAAAAAAACGUGCUUGACCGCAAUUGCAAUGAGGCUCACGAGCCAUUAAUUUCCAGUCUUGGUCAAGCACCCCCUAUACGUACUACGCCCAUAUUUGGAAUAUUAAAAUUAAAAAGAAGGAAGAAGAGACAGCAAAGGAAUCAUAUUAACUCAAGUAUGUACUAAUAUUAAAAGAAAUUUAAGAUAAAUAUGCUUAAAUUUUAAUUUAAAUUAAAAUAAAAUAAAUCGUAUCAAAAUUUGUAUAAAUAAAAAUUUACAAAAAAAAAAUUAAAUUCAGAAUUAUUAACAUCAACGUAAAUGGAUUUAUUGAUUAAAUCAAUCCAUGAUAGAAUAUAAGAUUGCUGAUUUAAUCUCAAUUCUAUCAAUUCUAUUAUGAGAUUUAGACCAUGCUUGGCUGAUUUAGAAGAAGGUUCGUUAUCGUUAAUCUCAAUUCUAUCUUAUUAUUAUAAGACUGAGAACGUUCGUAUGCUUGGCUGCCUGCCUUUGUAUAGAAAAUGAAAAACUGUUUGGCCUUUUCCUUUUUCUCAUAAUAAGAUAUAUUUUCUGUUUUGUUUCUGCCCAUCCCUCUUACCUUGGCAGCCCCAUGCAUCUAACCUCCAUUACUUGUCUCCAUCCUUAUCUGCCCUUUUUCUUAGUUUUUGUUACUCUUACUCACCAACUCAUGAUUGAUUUGAUUAGUUUAGUUUAGUUUAGUUGCCAAGAUUGAAGUUUUGAAGAUUCCAUGAAAACAGAUAGAGAAAACCCGUCCUUUUGCACAAAAUGGUUAGUGGAUCAGAAAAUGAAUAUUUAUCAUUAUAGUGUCUUCCAUAUUCCAACGUGUGUGUGUGUGUGUUUUUUUUCCUUUUAGAAUUUGUGCUGCUGACAGGGUUUCUUGCUCUUCUAUGAUUUUGGAGCUUCAAACUUUAAAUUUCUUUAAUUUUCAAGAUUUGGGUACUGCUUAAAAUUUUCACUAUGAUGGUUUGAUGGGAAUUUUAUUUCAUUAUUCUUUUUUGGUGAUGAAGCUGAAAUUUACUUAGCUAUUGAAUAAGCAAAUGUAGUUGAUCAAUUUUAUGUACUUUGUUUAUGUAGGAUAUUCAAUGAAUCGAUUUCCAUUACUUCCAUCAUCUAUGGCAUUUUAAUGGGUUGGGCUUUUUCUGCAUAUCUAGCCACGAUGAUCUAUUUUUGAAGGUAGGAUGAAUGUUUAUUGUGCUAAAAAAAAAUUGAAUCUAAAAGUUCUACUUUAUCCUUUUUAAAGAUAAGUAAUAACAAUAACAUCAGAAAUCACAAGAAUCGGAAUACUCCAAGUGAAUUCUCUAAAAUAAAAUGUGCCUUUUUUCCACAAAAAAAAAAAGAAAAAAGAAAAAAGAAAUGUACAUAUAUAGCUGCCUAAAUGCUGUGCAAAAUUUAUUAAUGAUGUCUAAUUAAUAAGGAAACUUCCGUUUUUAGAAAUUCUUGCCUAAUUUUUUUAAGUCAAAUUGAUAAUUAUGCCCUUAAAUAUAAAAUUAAAGUUAAACUACUCCAAAAGUUAUUGAGUAAUUAUGACCCUACUUUUUCCACUACUACUUGUUUUGUCAUUUGUGGCACUAAACUUUCCAUUAUACAUUUAAUUAACCCAAGAGCUAUAAAUAUACUGUUUAUUCCCCCA